rnacentral:lncRNA from 1 species
GUGAGUCAUUUAAUGUAUCGAUAAUAACUGGCUCUUCAAGAGGAAUUUUAAAAGGAUCUAGCCAUGAAAAAAUUUUGAAUUGUUCAUCUUCAAUGUCAAAUGACACUACUGCUUUGGAAAGUCUAUCUUCAAUACCUGCAGAAUCAGUAACCCAAUGAAAUGCCUAUUUUAAAGGUCAGAUGAAAUAAGGAGCAGAGAUACCAAAGAGUAUCACUGGAUCAUUGAAAUGAGGGUCACUUGUGUUAGGUAUCAGCCCAUUACAAGGUAACAUGGACUUUGGUGAUCCAAAAUAUAUAUAAGGAUAAUAAUUGUAUGUUUAGACAAUUAUUAUAAGAUAUGUCUUGGUCACAAAGAUAGAAGACCUAGUUGGAAUUGGAUUCUGAUUUGAGUUGAAGAUUUAAGAAUUGGAUUUCAAUUGCAGUUAGGUAUUUCAGAUUUAGAGUUAGAUUCUGAUUUGUCUAGUUUGAGAUGGCUAUAUAUACAUAGUCAUAUUGUGUUUGAUAGGUGUGCUCAAGAUGUAGACUUAGGUAUCGCUCGAGGGCGGAUACUUGGGUAGUAGGCUUGAGUAUCCAAGUUUAGUUUGAUUGUAUUAUUGAUAAUGGUUUUGAUUAAUAAUACAAGUUGGGACGUGGAUUUUCCACGUCAAAUAUAUUGUUGUGUGUCCGCUUUGUAUUAGAAGAUUGAAUCUCGUAUAUUAUCUCUAACAAGUGGUAUCAAGAGCCGAGGUUAGGAUCGUGAUUGAUGGGGUUGAGGAUAAAUUCGGGAUUCAAUCGAGAAUGCAGAGUAUGGUGAAUUUUGUUAGCAGGAAUAGGCAAAGUUACGUGCGGUAUGAUGGUUGACUUGCACCGUGGAUCAAUCAUGAUGGACUCAAUAUGGAAGAAGAUUAGAUGGUUCUUCUAGAUCGAGGCCGGAGGAUUGUGAAAGCAAGGAUCGGGUGACUCAUGGAUGGAAGAGCACUCGGGGUUGAUGCACGUGAUUUUGUAGAUGGAUAAAAUUUGGAAGAACGAGACAUGGAGAUUCUUGUUCGAGGGGAGGCAUUGGCGGAUGGACGUCGAUGUCUUGAUCGUGAUUGUUGAUUGUAUUGGGCUGAAGGGGAGGAUUGUUAGGUAUCAGCCCAUUACAAGGUAACAUGGACUUUGGUGAUCCAAAAUAUAUAAGGAUAAUAAUUAUAUGUUUAGACAAUUAUUAUAAGAUAUGUCUUGGUCACAAAGAUAGAAGACCUAGUUGGAAUUGGAUUCUGAUUUGAGUUGAAGAUUCAGAAUUGGAUUUCAAUUGCAGUUAGGUAUUUCAGAGUUAGAGUUAGAUUCUGAUUUGUCUAAUUUGAGAUUGCUAUAUAUACAUAGUCAUAUUGUGUUUGAUAGGUGUGCUCAAGAUGUAGACUUAGGUAUCGCUCGAGGGCGGAUACUUGGUUAGUAGGCUUGAGUAUCCAAGUUUAGUUUGAUUGUAUUAUUGAUAAUGGUUUUGAUUAAUAAUACAAGUUGGGACGUGGAUUUUCCACGUCAAAUAUAUUGUUGUGUGUCCGCUUUGUAUUAGAAGAUUGAAUCUCGUAUAUUAUCUCUAACAACUUGAUCAGGCUCAUGACAUGGAAGAGUUGUUACAUCAUGUGCACUACGACAAUUAGGAUAUUGGACAAAUGAUCUUUCUAUAAUGACAACAUAUGAGAGCGAUUUUUUUUUAUGACCCUAAAAUCCAAAAACGGAAGAACACUCCAGGUUUUGGUAUUUCACUACAUUCUGCCAUUAUGUCGAAACUUUGGAAACAUUCACCUAGGAUAUUGAAUAUGCACAAAGGGCUGUUCAGUGAUGUAAUUCCCUACCCUUGCUUAGUAUAUCUAUUAACACUGCAUGAUAUAAUAUCUGAAGCAUUGUUGAAGAAUAAUAAAUUAUAACAUCUGGUUAAAAAUUUGAAAGGAAAUAUAUCUCUGUAAUAGUUUUGAAAUGUUACGGAAAGUUUAACACUAACUAAUGUUGCUUUUGUGAGCUUUGUCUACUUUAAAUUGUAGCGCACACACUGUUCAGUUAAAGCAAUGUGGCUUUCGGGAGCUUAAUUUGCUCUAAUUUGCUUUGUAGAGCAUACAAUAUUCAGUAAAACCUAAUGUGGCUUUUGGGAGGUUUGCUCUCUCUUUUGUAUUGUAGGGCACACAUCCUGUUGAGUAAAAACUAAUGUAACAUGUGAUGGGAGCACAACAAUUUUUUGAAGUUGAUUAUUAUUAGGUACAUUUUCUAUCAGUAACCACCACAACAAUAAUGUCUGCGCGCGCGCGCACACACACACAUAUAUAUAUUCGAAAUGACAUGUCUUGUCUUGACUUAUGUUUUUUUGGAAGUAAUCUAUAUACAUAUAUAGUUGGCCAUGUAUUUUUCAGUCAUGAAAUUGAUACUAAAUUUUUUGAUCUUUUUAUCUUAAAAAUAUUUCUUUCCUUCUCUUUUAGUUUUCAAAUACUUUUAUUCACAUGUGUAUUGUUGAUGUGAUUUAUCUCUCUUGUAAUACUACCCAUUUACAGUUUGUAAAACUAGUUAUUACUAUUCUAUACUUCUACUACAAUCGGACCAUGGAAAAAAACUUUUCCCGGCCACCUGCUGCAACUUCAGUUAUGUUCUAUCCUGAGGAAAAUAAUAUCAUAUCGUCUGCAGGGAGGAUGGCUCUAUACUAAUCUAUGGUGUUCAGAAAGAUAUGGUCUUUAUCUAUAUAUACUGAUAUCUAAGUGUUGUACAUUAAAAAUGAAUUAUCAUUUACCGAUUAAGUUCUUAUUAUCUAUUUGGCUUAUAUAGAUGAUAUUGCCGAGAUAAUGCUCAUCAGAAGAGAGUGACUGGCCUUGCCUAUUCUAGUGCAUUAAAUAUCCUUUUAUCGUCUGGAUAAGAUGCUCAGGUACAUUUUUAAAGUGGAAGGCUAAUAGAAGAUAUCAGAUGCAUGGGCACAUUUCUGUCAAGUGUCACCAGGACCAAAGACAUUUGUUGGUUGUACAUGAAAGUUGUAUAGCCACUCCUGAUCGGGACCUAAUCUCGAGCCCUGCAAGCAGGUAUCUACAAAUUAUUUGCAGUGUUGACAAUCAAUUUAUAUGCUUUGUUGAAUAUCACAACAUGCUUAAUUCACCCAUGCUUUAUUAGACCUUAUUUGAAAGAGGUCGGGGUGAUUAUUUUGGGUGCAACUAUAUUGUGUAUUAAUAAUCAAGCACAUAACAAAUACUCCCUCCGUUUCAAUUUACAUGUCCACUUUUAAAACAAAAUUUUGUUUCAAAUUACUUGUCCACUUCAACUUUCAAUGCAAAAUCAUAUUUCCAAAGUCAAUUUUACUCCACAUAUCUCUUAUUUAUAUUUCCUAGAUCAAUCUCACUCCACAUAUUUUGAUCAUGUAAUGCAAUUAAUUUGUGAACAUCCACUUUCCUUAAACUGUGUGAUUAUUUUAAAGUGGAAUCAAAUUUGAAACGGAAGGAGUAUAUAUUAAUUGUGUGUGUACAUAUAUACUUACAUGAACACAAUCAUAUUUGGCAGAACUUGAAAUUGAUUUUUCUAAAAUAGUCCCUGGUGCAAUAUCAUGUCACUCUGCUAUUGAGAGAUCUAAGUUCUUCAUGACAGAAGAAAUUCUCAAGCUCUUUAAAUAUUUCUUGCAGUAGAUUCCCGGGGAAUUGAUCAGUGAUGCUGCAUAUAUAUUCCUGUGAUGGCCAGUCCAUAUAUGCCUGCUUUCUUAACAGGCACAUUGUUUUCUUGGACUCGGCAUCUUUGACCAUAAUUUUUUUUUAUCAAUCCGAGUGCAUAUUUUACCUUCUAAGUAAAGGUACGUGUUAUGUUUAAUUAAAAUGUAUACUGAAAAUAUGAGCUUAUUAGCGAUAACACCCUCUUGACGGGAAGCUGCCUUCUGUAUUAUAUCUACAGCCGGGUGAUGUAUGCUUCUACUCUUGCGGCUAAUCCUACAAAUUAAAACCCAAUCAGUUUGCUCUCGGGCUUAGUGAUGGUGGCGUACUAGUUAUAGAACUUGAGGAAGAGGAUAUUGGGGUUGGCAUUGUAGCACGCCUUAGCUUGAGACCAGCAACAACUGAGAACUUGAUAUGAGCUUUUGUGAUAAUCAAAGCCCAGUGUCUCUUGAAAUCUAUAUGUUUUAAAACAUACAUCUGGGGAUUGGAUUAGUGCAAGAGUUGUGAAGUUUUUUUUUUUGCUUGACUAUGUUAAGUGAUAAAUGUUCAAUUCAAAUAUACACCUAGUGCAGAAUUUGAAAUGAGAAUUGUCAACAGAGUAUGAAAAUGAGAAAAGAAAGCCAAUAUUUUGGCAUAUACAAUGUUUCACUCAUACAGUCCGUAAUUUUCAAUGCAAAUAUACAUGUAGCUGCCCAAUUUCAAAAGAGAAUUAUCAAAACAAAUAUGCAAAUAUACAUGCUUGACUAUGUUAAUUGAUUUUUUUUAAUUCGAAUAUACAUGUAGAAGGAGAAUAUGAAAUGAGAACCAUCAACAUAGUAUGAAAUAUGAAAAUAAUAAAAGAAACUCAAUAUUUUGGUAUUCGGAGUGUCCGACACAACACAUUUCUGAGUAUCGGAUUUGGAAUUAUCAAAAAUUCCUGACAUAGUCACAAUGUCCAAAUUAAUUUUGGACAUGGAUACGGGGAUGCAGCGAAUUUUAAAAUAAUUAUUUAUUUUCAUUUGAGAAAUAAAAAAAAUAUAUUGCAUUAUUUUUUAGUUGAAAAUGUGCAAUUGAUUGAUUUAUAAAAUCCAAAAAUUAACAACUAUAAUACCGGUAUUUAUAGUGCAAAAUCAGGGUACAAAUUGUGGUCUGAGCAGAAUACUCCUCAGCUUGAGAAUAUGCAAUCUGCAGGGUGGAAGAAACUGUGGUCAUUAAAGAUCCCUCAUAAGAUCCGUAUGUUUCUGUGGAGAAUAUGCAGGAAUAAUGUUCCUGUGCGAAAUAUGUUAAGGGAGAAGGGGGUUAAUAUUCCCAUUUUGUGUCCUAUGUGUAACAUAGAAGUGGAGCAUUUACUUCAUAUUUUUUUCGACUGCAAAUUUGCCUCGGAGUGCUGGAAAGUUAUGAAUUUAUCAUAUGAUAUGAGAAAUGCAGACUCUGCCUCUAACUGGUUACUUCAUAAGCUUGCUACAACAACGGACGAGGAGGCUUCUGUCAUUGCUACUGUCUUGUGGGGCAUCUGGUAUGCUCGGAACUUAAAUGUUUGGGAGCUCUGAGUCCCUCUGUUGCUAUGGAAGGAAGUAAAAGGCAGGUAUCGGAUUGGAAGGAGGUUAAGUUAAGGAAGCAUGUUUCUCGAUCAAAUGUAAAUGAUGGUCAGCAAGAGCAUAUUCAGAAAUGAAUGCCGCCUGUCGAAGGUACCCUCAAGCUUAAUGUUGAUGCAUCUGUUAUCCAGGGGAGCACCUCGUUUCAAAUUGGAAUGGUGUUGCGUGAUUGUCGUGGCCAUUUUAUCCAAGGAAAGUGCAUGCACUAUGCUGGAGAGGUAACAGCUCUUGAGGCAGACUUUUGGAAUUUGUGAGGCCCUCUCUUGGAUGCUCGCUAGGAGUGGCCAAUCUGUUCAAAUUGAGAGUGACUCUCUGGUUGCAAUCAACUUCAUCUGUAGUAAGACGGCAAAUCAACUUGAAAUUGGUCAUGUGUUUGAGAUGUGCCCAGAAAUCAUGCAAAUUAGACCCGAUUUGUCCUUGCACUUUGUUAGAAAGCAAGCCAAUGAGGCGGCGCAUUUAAUGGCGCGUGUACCUUGUGAGCUAAAUAGCUACAAUUUAUUCUUGUCUCCUCCAUUGUCUGUGUUGGAGACUAUUGUUUCUGAGGUUUCAGUGUUUUAAUGGAAACUCUCUUGUUUUCAGAAAAAAAAAAUGUAUUUAACAUUUUUCUUGCCAAUAUUCAUGUAAAGCAAAAAUUAUGCACAGCAAAGUAAAAGAAAGGGAAAAAGGGAAACAAUUGGAUAAUGAAUGGGGACUUAAAGAUGUCCAGAUAUAUUUGUAAUAUAUAAUACAUCUCAAUACAUGUAUUCCUCGAUCUUUUCACCCGUUUACUACCAUCUUCUUCAUUUCUCUCCACCGUUUCACCACUUCUCAUCUUCUUCUUCCUGUUCCCCAUAUUUCAUAACAUCGCUUCUUACACAAUUUCUUCCGUAUUUCUCAACGAUCUUUGAUUUUUGAUUUCUCUGGUAACCAUUGACUUUUCCGAUGAUGAAUGGGCGGUAUAGAGCUUUCAACAGAGCAGUCCGGCCUCUAUCCUGUUUCUUAUCUUGUGUCGUGCCGUGUCGACACGGGUACGUUGAAUGGAAUAGACGAGUCGGAUUAACACAGCUAAGCAAUGAAGAAAAUGCUUCAAAACUUGUGGUAAGAAUGUGAGAGUAUUUAAUUAUAUGAAAUCUUGAUAAUUAAAGACCGGAGGGAAUAUGAUGUAGCAACUCUUGAAUGUCAUGAGGCUGAUCAAGUGCCCCCUUAUUUCAAUGAUCCAAUGAUACUCUUUGGUAUCUCUGCUCCUUAUUUUAUCUGUCCCAUAAAAUAGGCAUUUCAUUCAGUUACUAAUUCUGCACCUAUACUAAUCUAUGAUGUUCAGAAAGAUAUGGUCUAUACUAAUCUAUGGUGUUCAGAAAGAUAUGGUCUUUAUCUAUACUGAUAUCUAAGUGUUGUGCAUUAAAAUAAAUUAUGAUUUAGCUAUUAAGUUCUUAUUAUCUACUUGGCGUAUAUGGAUGAUUGCCGAGAUACAUGCUCAUCAGAAGAGAGUGACUACCCUUGCCUAUUCCCGUGCAUUAAACAUCCUUUUAUGGUCUGGAUAUGAUGCUCAGGUGCAUUUUUAAACUGGAAGGCUUUUAGAAGAUAUCAGAUCCAAAGUCACAUGACGCUAAUAAUCCUUUUGGUUUUUGAAGAUAUGUGCUUGGAACAGAUUUGGAUGAAAAUACCAGUCGACUAAUUUCAUGAAUGAUCAUGGAAAUGCUUUGUCUCCCCGGCACAAUUCUGUCAAGUUUCACCAGGACCAAAGACAUAUGUUGGUUGUACAUGAAAGUUGUCUAGCCACUCUUGAAGGGCCUAACCUCGAGCUCCGCAAGCAGGUAUCUGCAAAUUAUUUGCAGUGUUGACAAUUAAUUUAUAUGCUUUGUUAAGUAUCACAACAUGCUUCACCACCCUUUAUUAGACCAUAUUUGAAAGAGGUCAGGGUGUUCAUUUUGGGUGCUACUAUAAUGUGAAUUAAUGAUCAAGCACAGAACAAAUAAAUAUUAAUUGUGUGUGUACACAUAUACCUACAUGAACACAAUCAUAUUCGACAGAACUUGAUAUUGGUUUUUCUUAAAUUGCCCCCUGGUGCAAUAUCAUGUCGCUCUGCUACUGAGAUUAAAAAGUUUUUAAUGACAGAAAAAAUUCUCAAACUCCUUAAGUAUUGUUUGCAGUGGAUUCCCGGGGAAUUGAUCGUCGGUGAUGCUGCAUAUUCAUGUGAUGGCCAGUCCAUAUAUGAUAUAUGCCUGCCUUUUUAAAGGGCACAUUGUUUUCUUGGACUCCGCAUCAUUUACCCUCUUGACUGGAAGUUGCCUUCUGUAUUAUAUCUAGGGCCAGGUGAUGUAUGCUUCUACUCUUGCGGUUGAUCCUACAAAACACAAUCAGUUUGCUCUCGGGCUUAGUGAAGGUGGCGUACUAGCUAUAGAAGAAGAGGAUACCGGGAUUGCUUUGUACUACGCCUUAGCUUGAGACUAGCAACAACUGAUAACUUGAUAUGAGCUUUUGUGAUAAUCAGAGCCCAGUGACUCUUGAAAUCUAUAUGUUUUAAAACAUACAUCUAGUGAUUGGAUUAGUGCAAGGGUUUUGAAGGUGUUUUCUUACUUGACUAUGUUAAGUGAUAAAUUUUCAAUGCAAAUAUACACGUACAUGUAGAAAUUGAAAUGAGAACUGUCAACAGAGUAUGAAAAUAAGAAAAGAAACCAAUAUUUUGGCAUAUACAAUGUUCCACUUACAAAGCCCCCGUAACUUUCAAUGCAAAUAAACAUGUAGCCACCCAAUUUGAAAAGAGAAUUGAUGUCACCACAACAUAUAUAUAUGAAAAUAAUAAAAGAAACCCAAUAUUUUUGCUUGACUAUGUUAGCCGAUAAAUUUUUAAUGCAAAUAUAUAUGUAGCCACACAAUUUGAAAUGCGAACUUGUCAUCAUCAGAGUAUGAAAAUAUUAAAAUAAUAAAAGAAACCCAAUAUUUUGGCAUAUAUAUACAAAGUUUCACUCAAAAAUUUUUUAAUUAGGAGCUAGUAUCCAGCUCUUUAGUAUAAAUUCUAGGCCCACUAUCACCCUCAACUAGAACAUACACAACACCCUUUUAGAUGUAUAAAAAUACCAUCACUUAAUAGGCCUCCAAAUGGAUAGAUAUGAUCCGAGUCUAUUUUAAAUAUUCAUGAAUUAAUCUCAAAAUAAUUUCAUUGGCUAAUAUAAUGGGUUAUUUAUUGGAUUAAAUAUGGAUUUAGGUCAAUCGGACCCGUCUAUGAUCCAACCCCAUCAUUAUAUGUAUAUAUAAAAUAAUAUUAAUAUAAUAUUUAAUACUUAUAUACUCAAUAUGUUAUUCCCGUCCUAUUUUUGCACGUUUCUUAUGAAAAUAAAACAUUUAGAAAAAAUGUUAGUGGAAUAUAUAUAAUUCUAUCUUAAAAUGAUAGUUUUGUUUCGACUUAACUUAGUUAAACUAGUAAUUUUAAUUAACAAUUUUAUGGGGCUGUUUAUUUCGUACAAGCAAAAGCUGCUUCUGACUUCUGCUUCUCUUGACCCGUUUGUGUAAAUAAGUAGAAGCACUUUUAUUAAGCUGAAAAUGCUAGCUUCUCUCUCGCAGCUUUCAUUUCUUUUCCAAACAUUUUCUUAACUUAUUACAUCUCACUUCUAUUCCACUUCUUAAGUUUAAGCACGAAGUCACUUCUUUUAACUUAACCCAAACGGUCCCUAUAUAUUAUAUAACUUCAAAACUUUUUGAUAUAUACAUAUAAAUGUUACUAAAUAUUCAUGAAAAAUAUUUAUGCAAGAUAUUUGAAACAUCAUAAUGACCCAUAAUAUUGGCACAUGAGACAAAAAAAAACAUCAAAAUAAAUCGUAAAUUAACAAAGUCUAAUGCCUAAACAUACCAAAUUAGAUCAAGAUAUAUUCCUAUCGAAAAAUAACCGAAUAAGGUAUAAUACAACCGUUUUAUGACAAAAAAAAAAAGUUUAUUACUUCCAAUUUUAAAAAAUAUUGCACAUAAAUAUACAUACAAAUAAUAUAAAAACAAAGUCAUAAUUAAAAAACCGAUAUUCAAAUCAUAACAAAUUAGUCAUCAAUAAAAACAUGCACCUAAAAACAUGUUAAAACUAAAACUUUUAAUAUAGUAGAUCAAACCACACACUUAACAUACCCACACAAUCAAGAACGCCAAGAACUCAUAUCGAAAUCUAUAACAAACCUAAUUUCAAAUCAAUAUUCCGGCCGAGCAUAUAGCAAAUCCGACUAAGACAAAACAUUUCGAAAAAAUACCGGGAAAAAAGUUACAAAACUCGACCUGAUCUACAAAUUAAUCCAAACAAAAUUACCAAGCCAGAUACAAAUCCAUAUUUUCGAUCACCUAAAAAAUCUAUACAACUUUAAAAUUAGAAGAGGAAUGGGGUAAAUUGAUUACUAUAUAUGAUGCAGAUAUGCUAUCAUAAUAUAAACAAAACAAACAAAACAAGCAAACAAAACACAUGAAAAACAUUUAUCCAUGAUUGCAACAAGAUAAUGGCGAAAAAAACGUACCUUUUCAAAGAGACGGGGAAAUCUUGAUUACAUAUUUUUUUAAUUCACACAAGUCAACAUGUUUGACUUUCCCUUUUAUUUCUUUUACAAUGCUCCUCUAAUUUGUCUUUUUAAGUUUAUAUGGCGUGCUAAUUACCAUAAAAAUUAUGGGUGGCAAUGCUCGGAUAUCCAAUGAUAUAAUUUAAAUGCAUUCAAAAAUUUGUACAAUUUUAUGUAGAUAGCGUAUUUGCUACCUAUAGGCAUUUUAAAAUCCUAAUUAUUGAAGAAAUUUUAGACUGUUAUUCAUAACUUAGUGUUUCUACCUUAUAAAUAUUAGUGUAACGGUAAGGAUAAUGUUUCUAACUUAUACACAUUAGUGUAAUUUUAAGGAUAAAGAUGGCCACAUAAUUGAUUGUUUAGUAUACUUUUCAAAUGAAAUAUAAUGUUCACAUAAUUUAGAAUUAUAGUUCUUACUUUUUAUAUAUUUUUAAGUGGCCUUAUUACAUAUUGCAUAUUAGAGUCGAAAACAUGAACUAAGUGUGCACACUUUCCUCUUUUGUUAUUUAGUUCCUCAUUUAAAUAUUUGUCUUAUCUCAGCGUAUUUCUUUUUUUAAAGUCUCCCCUAAUUGUUCAUCAUUUAUUACCGGUGUAUGUUAUGAAUAACUUACAUUUGAUCUAAAAAGUUUAUUUUUCGUGUAUGCUAUGAAUUAUGUAUAUCACAAUUUUAAUUAGACAUUACUCUAUUGAUGUAGCACUGAAUUUUUAUGUCAUUCUAUAGAUACAUGGUACAUGAGUUAGACCUACUUGAACUCUUAGAUACAAGGUUCCUAAUCAAAUUCUUAAGCUUGUUCCAAAUAUGGAGGUGGUUAUAGGUAUUCAUCUAAAUCUCAACAUUAAUAUUUCAUCAAUUUCUUUGACUUAAAUUUUUAUUGAUGUUAAAUGGAUAACAUUUAAACAAUCCUUGGUAAUCCUUGCGAGAUAUCUACAUUACCGAAUUUCAUAAUGGAUAUAUCUCAAUUUGGAAAAAAGAUGUCAUAGGUAAAACAUAUAUGGAAAAUUAUCACAAUGGUACCCUAAGGAUCAUUUUUCACAAAUAAGCUUUUAUAUUUUAUCUACUACUAUCGAUCUAUUUUGUUCUCUAGAAAUUUAUUACAAUGCUACUCAAUAGGAUUAUUUAUGAAAAUUUUGUUCAUUCUUUGAGGCACGCAAAUGGUUUCGCGGCUCGCAAAUGUUGUCAAUGUGCAUAUUAUUAUAAUUGCUUCAUAUGGUGAUGUCUCAUUAAUUGGUUGCCCAAAAACAAUAUUGAAGCAACAUGGUUUAAUUUGUGAUAUUCUAUUUUGUGUAUGUAAAUCACUUACUAUAUACCGGCCAUUCUUGGAUGUAUCUUUUAUUUACAUGUAAACUUUUGUAGUAAGAAUGUUAUCAUGGCUCAAUUAUUCAAUAUAUCAUUUAUUUCCUAGUGGAAUAUUGUAGAUACUAUGUGGUAAGUGUCAUUUUUAUGCUAAUAUUUAAAUACAAAAUUAAAAUCAUGUGUACAUUAUUAAUAUCACAUUAGGCUAUAGUGGAAAAUAAUUGAAUGACAUAUACAACAUGUGAGCUACUUGCAUAAGAUAGCCAUUAAAAGACCGGUUUCAUUUGAAACAUACUAGCUGAUUUAUUUCAAUAAGUGAACUUGAUGGGACAACCAACUAUAGAGUUGGGAACAUUACUCAUCAUUCUUUUUAUAUUAUUUAGGUUAUCUUUUAUAUAUACGGGAGGUACCUUAAAUGAAUUUUCACAUAUAUAAGGUAUUAUUUCUACCUAAAAGAGAUUAUAAUUUUUUUAUAUUUCUCUUUAAAUUUCCAAUCAUGGUAUUGUUUCUACCUAAAAGAGAUUAUAAUUUAUAUAUAUUUCUCUUUCGAAGUUCCAAUCAUUAACAAUUUGAUGAAUAAGGGAAUCAGUUCCACAUGGAGGAGUGUGGAGAUUUUAGUUGAGUUUAUAAGCAUAAGCACCUCUGGAGUACUCUUGCCAUUGUGGGAUAGUACCACCAGCCUUCGUGUCUCCACCUCUGCUAACAUGACGAAUCAAGCUUUCAUCAAGUAUUGGGUUUUAUCAUAUAUCAUUCCUCUCCAAUGUAAUUAUUAAUAAUUCAUACAAUUUUUGAGGUUGUGGUUGCUUGUGUUGUGAGUACUCAUUUUGCUCAAACAGUUUUAAUCAUAUGACUUUAUGCAUAUUCUUUCUUUAUUCAACUCAUUUUUAUAAUUGACCUUUUCGUUACAUAUUAAGACAAGAUAUUAAUCUUAUUUAGUCUAUUUUGAAUGUCAUAAAGGACCGAAUUGAAUUUGAGAGAUAGAUAUGUGAGGUAAAACGUUGAUAGAAAAAUAUCACAAUGGCAUUAUCUUGCCCCAUUCACCCAAAAUAAGCUUCUUUUCUUAUUUAAUAUGGUAGCCUUUGCUUUUUCUACGGGUAAAUUGAGCUCAGGACUCGUCAUUGCGAUUCUUUAUUCGAAAUCUUGCCAUUCUUUGAGGCAUAUACCAAUGCAAUCUGCAAAUUAAUGUUUUUGUCUCAGAUGAGGAAGAUCUGUGAGCUGUUAAAAAUAAGUUAAUUUGUAAUUCUCUUGAAUUAUCUCUAAGAGUCUAGAUGAUUCUAGUUAUAAGUAAUGAGUCAAAUAUUCAAUGUAAGCAAUGGAAGGUCUCCUGAACUUAUUCAUGAACCUUAUUAAUGAUCUAAACUCAUAGUCUUCCUAGUCUAUCUAUAUAAAGACUAGAUGGAUCAGUUGUAAAUUAAGCCAGCAAGUAAUAAUAUAUAAAGAAAAGCUUUCUGCCUUCUUCCUUUAUCAAUUCUGAUCCCAACAAAUUUGGUAUCAGAGCCAGGUUCAUUCCAGACCUCCAAAACACUUAAGUUUCAUAAACCCUCUUAUAUAUGUAAUGGCAGCAUCUAGUGAAGUGUUAUUCAACUAUGCACAAAGCAGUAUUCCUAUUUUUAACGGUGAAAGCUAUGACUUCUGGAGCAUCCAGAUGAAGACGUUAUUCAUCUCUCAUGACUUAUGGGACUUGGUAGAAGAUGGCUAUGAAGCUGGAGCAACGCAAGAAGAAAUUGCAUCCUGGUCAGCGGCUAAGCAGAAUGAAUUUAAGAAUAAUAAGAAGAAAGAUGCCAGGGCUUUACUCUUUAUUCAGCAAGGAGUCAGUAAAGCAAUAUUUCCACGUAUUAUGGGUGCAAAAACGUCAAAAGAAGCAUGGGAUCUUUUGCGGAAUCAGUUUCAAGGCUAUGAAGCAGUAAUUUCAGUAAAGCUGCAAUCGCUAUGGAGAGAAUUUGACAACCUGCAGAUGAAAGAAAGUGAAAGUAUUCAGGACUUCUUCUCUAAGGUGUCAACAAUCAUUAAUCAGAUUCGAAGUUAUGGAGAUACUUUGGAUGAUAAAAAAGUUGUUCAUAAAAUUUUAAGAAGCCUGCCAGCGAAGUUCGAGCAUGUAGUAGCAGCGAUUGAAAUUUCUAAGGACUUGUCCAAAUUAACGGUGGAUGAACUUAUGGGCGCUCUUGAAGCUAACGAGGAAAGAAUUCGCAGAUUCUCAAAUCAGCCCCUGGAGCAAGCUUUUCAAGCAAAAAUCAGCAUAAGCAACAAAAACGGUGAAGUAAAUCAGGAAAACGAAGCACGAAGAAACUACAGCAGGAAUCAAAAUACUAGAAGAAGGAAUCAGAAUUUUCAAGGAAGAGGAGGAACGCGAAAUUUUAAUCAAAGAAGCAACUUCAACAAUUCCAAAUGUAUCAUCUGCAAGCGAUCAAAUCAUGAGUCAAAAAAUUGCAAAUUCAGAUGCAAAAGGUGCAAAGUUUCUAACCAUUCUCAGAGAGACUGCUGGUUCCAAAACAGAACUCAAGCAAAUGCAAAUUUUUCGGAGGAGAGUGAAGAGACACAUGUGACUUUUUCAUGUAUGAAUGACCAGCAAGUGCAGCAAAAGAAGUGGUAUAUUGAUAGCGCUUGUAGCAAUCACAUGACAGGCAGCAAGGAGCUUUUUUCAGAGCUUGAUGAAAGCCAUAAAUCUGAAGUAAAGAUUGGAGAUGGAAAAAUGCUGAAAAUUGAAGGAAAAGGCAUCAUUACAUUCUGCUCUAAAGAAGGUAUGACUCUAAACAUCGCUGAUGUUCACUACGUUCCUGAAUUAACUCAAAAUUUGUUGAGUAUUGGCCAACUGAUGCAAAGAGGUUUCUCAAUAAAUUUCGAUGAUGAGCAUUGUGUUAUUUUUGAUAAGAAGAAGAAAUUUACAGUGGCAAGAGUUAAAAUGAUUUCAAAUAAAACCUUUCCAUUAUCUAUGCCAUUGGAAGGUAAUGUUGCGUUAAAAGUUGAGCAGAAUGAUGAUUCAUUUAUAUGGCAUCUAAGAUACGGGCAUCUCAACUUCAAUGGUCUUAAGCUAUUGAAAGAUAAAAACAUGGUUAUAGGCCUGCCAUGUAUCUCCAAAAUCAAUAAAGUCUGUGAAGGUUGCAUAUAUGGAAAGAUGCACAGAUUGUCGUUCCCGAAAACAGCCUGGAGAGCAAGGGCUCCAUUAGAACUGGUUCACUCUGAUAUAUGUGAAUCAAGGACUCCUUCACUCAAUGGCAGCAAAUAUUUUCUCUUGUUUGUGGAUGACUACACUAGAAUGAUGUGGGUGUAUUUUCUGAAGCAAAAAUCUGAGGCGUUCAUCUCAUUUAUUCACUUCAAGGCGUUGGUGGAAAAUCAAAGUGGAAGAAAAAUAAAGACACUCAGGACUGAUCGUGGUGGGGAGUAUUUAUCUCAACCCUUUCUUAAUUACUGCAAAGAAAAAGGUAUAAGGAGGCAGCUAACGAUAAGGUAUAGUCCUCAACAAAACGGCGUUGCAGAACGGAAGAAUCGGACAAUAGUCGAGAUGGCCAGAAGCAUGUUAAAAGCAAAAGGUUUGUCAAAUAUUUUCUGGGCAGAAGCUGUUUGCACAGCUAUCUAUCUUCUGAAUAUCUCUCCAACAAAGGCGGUGUUCAAUAAAACGCCUUAUGAAGCUUGGUAUAAGCAGAAACCAGAAGUACAUCAACUCAAAGUGUUUGGAUGCAUCGCCUAUUCUCAUAUUCCAGCACAACACAGAGAGAAAUUUGAUGAGAAAGGAGAGAAGCUGCUAUUUCUUGGCUACAGCGAAGAAUCAAAAGGCUAUCGUCUCUUUAAUCCUGCCACAAAGAAAUUUGUGAUCUCCAGAGAUGUAAUUUUUGAUGAAACAAAACAGUGGAACUUUCAGAACAAUACAUCUCAACCAUCACUUCAGAAUGUGCCAACAAUAUCUCCAGAAAUGUUUGAAGAUGUUGUCUUACCAGAAGAAGGAUCAAGAUUCACAACUGAAGACACCACGGAUACGGAAGUACUUAGACAUCGUUCAAUUCAAGAUAUUUAUGAUUCUUGUAACGUGGCAUUCUUUACAUGUGAACCAAAAGAUUUUGAGGAUGCUGCAGGAGAAGAAACUUGGAUAAAAGCAAUGGAUGAUGAGAUUACUACUAUAGAGAAGAAUCAUACAUGGAAACUUGUUGAUCCUCCGAAAAAUAAAGAUAUCAUAGGACUAAAGUGGGUCUAUAAGACAAAAUACAAUGAAGAUGGAACUGUCCAAAAGCACAAGGCAAGAUUAGUUGCCAAGGGGUAUUCUCAGCAACCAGGAAUUGAUUUCACUGAAACAUUUGCUCCGGUGGUUCGUAUGGAGACAAUCAGAUCUGUACUGGCUGUUGCUGCUCAGUUUCAAUUACCGGUCUACCAACUUGAUGUCAAGUCAGUCUUUCUUAAUGGAGAGCUCCAAGAAGAAGUUUACGUGGAGCAGCCUCAAGGAUACAUCAAAAAGGGGCAGGAAAAGAAGGUUUAUCGUCUUUAUAAAGCCUUGUACGGGCUGAAGCAAGCGCCACGUGCUUGGAAUGCUAAGAUUGAUGGUUACUUUCGUAAAAAAGGUUUCCAGAGAAGCAAAAGUGAGCCAUCCUUAUAUGUUAAAAAAUCUGGUGCGCAUGAUUUUCUCAUUGCGUGUUUAUACGUGGAUGACUUGAUCUAUAUGGGAACUAAUGCUAAAUUGGUGGAGGAUUUUAAGAGGUCAAUGAAAGAAGAAUUCGAAAUGACUGAUCUAGGUCUCAUGAAAUACUUUCUUGGUAUCCAAGUGAAGCAAUCUUCUGGUGAAAUAACAUUAUGUCAAGAGAAGUAUAUUGAUGAUUUGUUGAGGAGAUUUCAUAUGGAAAAUUGCAAGCCGAUGGAUACUCCUAUGGCUGCAAAUCUAAAACUACAGCUUGAUGAUGGUGCAACAAAGAUUGAUGCAAGGAGAUAUCGAAGUCUUGUGGGAUCGCUUAUUUAUUUAACAAAUACAAGGCCAGAUAUAGUUUAUCCGGUUAGCCUAGUAUCAAGAUUUAUGCAAGAACCAAGCAGCUUGCAUUAUUCAGCAGCGAAACGCAUUCUUCGUUACUUGAAGGGUACUAAGAAUCAUUGUUUGAAGUACACAAAAGAAGAAAAUAACAGGCUGACUGGUUAUACUGACAGCGACUGGGCUGGUUCUAUUGAUGAUCGCAAAAGCACUUCAGGUUAUGUAUUUUUCUUGGGAACAAAGCCUAUCUCAUGGUCAUCCAGAAAACAGAAAACUGUUGCACUUUCUUCUGCAGAGGCAGAAUAUGUCUCGGCUUCAGAUGCAGCAUGUGAAGCAAUCUGGCUCAGGAGAAUACUUAAUGACGUGGAACAAAUUGAGAAAGAGCCGACUACUAUAUUGUGUGACAACAUGUCAGCAAUUGCAAUGACUAAAAAUCCUGUCUUUCAUAGCCGCACCAAACAUAUUGAGCUACGUCAUCACUUUAUUCGGGAUCUGGUGCAAGAUGGAGAAGUUUCGCUAAAGUUCAUCAACACAAAUGAGCAAGUUGCUGAUAUUUUCACAAAAUCAGUCUCAACUGAGAAAUUUACAAAAUUCAAGGAAAGUUUAGGAAUUACAAAUUAAGAGGGGGUGUUAAAAAUAAGUUAAUUUGUAAUUCUCUUGAAUUAUCUCUAAGAGUCUAGAUGAUUCUAGUUAUAAGUAAUGAGUCAAAUAUUCAAUGUAAGCAAUGGAAGGUCUCCUGAACUUAUUCAUGAACCUUAUUAAUGAUCUAAACUCAUAGUCUUCCUAGUCUAUCUAUAUAAAGACUAGAUGGAUCAGUUGUAAAUUAAGCCAGCAAGUAAUAAUAUAUAAAGAAAAGCUUUCUGCCUUCUUCCUUUAUCAAUUCUGAUCCCAACAUGAGCUUGGAAAGGUUGUGUGAAAUCUCAGCUUAGGCAACUUAAUUUGAAGGUUAAUAUUUUACUUUAUUUACCUAAAUAGGUGUUGUUUCUAGCUCAGAUGUUUCUUUUCUUUCCUUUCAUUGUGUUCUUUUAUAUGGUAUGGCGGCCGCGUCAAACCAAAGUCAAGUCCGCGUUAAUACUUGCACAGCCGUUAACUUAUACUGAAUUGUAACGGAUAGAGACGUUAAAUUUUUUAAAUGGGCUGCCACGUUUCUUAAUGGCCUUCCACGUAGACUUUAUAACCAGAAAGCCCAACAAUUAAACCCAAUUAAUCAAAAAUAAUACUGAUCCAUUUAUACUAACCAAAGCUAUUUGAGUUAAUCAGCCUCGAAUGAGAUUCAAAGCAAGAGAAGUGAGGAAGAAAGGCUACUCACUUGAAGAAGCUCGAUCGAAGAUGACAGUAUGUCGGAAGGAGUUAAGAAAUUCAAAAGGGGAUUCAAACGAAGAGGACACAAACUUUAGCGAAUCGAUGAGGUAAUUUCUAGGGUUCAUAUACCCAAUUCCAAGUUCUUGGAGAGACUCUGACAUUAGUUUGUGACCAGAGGAAAGGAUUUAAAACUACAAACUCCCUGUUGACAAUGCAAUUUCAUUAAUUCAGGCACUCAUACGGAUGCUCCUUCACAUGCUUACAAACUGCCUUAUAUGUUCGGUGCUUCUGUAUGGACAUAUAAAUAUAUAUUGUAAUUGGGUCGGGUUCUUCAUUUAACUACUGAUGGGUUAUGAUAAAUCAGCAAGCCUAGUGGAUGUUUUUCUUACCCGUCAUCCAGCCACAUCAGCGCUCAGUUACCUCGGUUAAAUGUGUUAACGGUGAUCAUAUAAAUGCAACUAAAUAUUAGUUUAGUUAUUUGAUUGCAAACUAAUAUUUAGUUGCAUUUAUAUGAAAUAUUUAGUUGCAUUUAUGUGAUCAUAUAAAUGCAACUAAAUAUUAGUUUAGUUUCUGACAGCCAUUUUCUGACAGAGCGCUCUUUGGUGUUUAAUAUCUGACGGGAGCUAGCAUCUGACGGACAAGUGAGCUAACAUCUGACAGAGCUCUGUUUGGUCGUCGGAAAUUGAAUAUUUUAUUUAUAUAAUUUGGUGGCAAAAAAAAAAUUUCCCGCUAAAUGGACCUUCUGACAGCCGAACCCAGUUCUGUCAGAAGAUGUCAUAAAAUAUAUCAAUUUUCCUUAUAAAAAAAUAAAAAACAUUUUUUUUAUUAAAAGAAAAUUAAAUUCUGAAAUGUUUUCUUGCCAUUAGAUACUUCUGACCGAUAACCAGUCAGAAGUACUUGGACAAAAGAAACAUUUUUAACACAUAGCUACUUCUGACGGACAACCGGUCAGAAGUAUUCAAAACAAUUAUUUUUAUCAAUUAGAUACUUCUGACGGAUAUCCCGUCAGAAGUACCUCUGUACCUACUGUCCACACACUUUCUUAUCACUUCUCAUCUAACUUUUUUCAUUCCAAGCCACAUUCACUCUUCACUCUUUAAACAUAGAUGUAUAUUGACUAAUGAAUCAAGGCCAACAUUUUGAGUUCAUAUCUUCCUUUCAUCGAUGUGAGUAUUUAAAAUUCUUGAUAAAUAACUUGUUGAUGUUUUUAUGUUUAAAUUAAAUUUAUGUUGUGUGCAUAUGUGAUUCAUAUACUUGUGUGCAAGUGUAGGUAUAUAUGAUAUGUUUAAACUUUCAUGAGCAUUCAUUAAAAUUGAAUAAUAAACAUAAACAUUAUUUUGAAUAUUUAUAAUUCAAUAUUGGUGUAAAUUUUAUCUUUGAUUUAUAUGUCAUUUUUUGCAUUGUUUAGAUGUCUAUGGAUCGUACUUGGAUUGGUAGAAGAUCCAAUCCGAAUGGUUAUGGUUUUACAGACGAGUAUUUUGCCGGAGUGGAUGAAUUUCUAGUAUUUGCGCAAAGAAAUUGUAGAGAGCCAAAUGGUCUUAUCUUAUGUCCAUGUAAGGUGUGCAAAAAUCAGCACUUAAAGAGUGUAAUGGAAGUCAAGUAUGAUCUGAUUGCAGUUGGAUUUCUCGAGAGUUAUGUUGUAUGGUAUUAUCACGGGGAAGUUGUUGCUAGUGCCAUAUAUAUUUAUCGGCCAUAUUGUUUUGUAUCUUUUCAGGAUAGAGAGUGGUCAGGCACUCCGCAACUUACUUGUAAUCAUGCGAUUACACUGGCCAGAGGAUGUUAUUCAUCAAUCUGAUGUUGAAAGGCUUACACCUGAUUGGUGGGAUCUUAUUAUUGAUGAGUUUUUCGUAAGUAAAUUCUAUACUUCUAAUAGUUUUAUGAGCUUUCUACUUGUGCUUUAAUACGCGAUAGAGAAAUAUUAAGUUCAAAAUGAUAGCUAUCAAACUGAAAAUAAUGCCCACAAGUAAAUAGCUGUCAAACUGAAAAUAUUGAGUAUUCCAACAUUAGUACUUCUCAUUCAUUCUAAUAUUAUGAUACAUUUCUAUAUUUGCUUGAUAAGACAGAUAAACAAAAUGAAGAACAAAACCAUUUUGUUUUAAGUAACAUAGUUUGUUAUACACAAGUCUGAAUAUAUAUGGGAGCAGAGAACACUUUUUAGAAUAUAUAUGUUAGUUUGUGUAAAGUGACCUCAAAAUAUUGCAGGACCAAAAAGAACAUGCCUUUUUAACAUUGAUAAGAGUAGCAGGCAUUUAGAUGAAACAAGAUAUGAUUUUUCAUUGCAAAGAGCAUGAAGCACAAAAUUUUUAACAGAAAGAUGGGUUGGCUCUUUAUUUGUUUCUGCUAUAUAUUGACAAACUGUGCCAACUUAACGUGAUUGCUAUAUUUAAUUAUGUACUAAAGUAAGUUUAAUGAAUUAGAUUAAUAUAAAAGAUGUUUAAUGAUUCCAUAUGUGACAUCCAAAACGGCUUUGCACUGAUAAAAUAAAUUGGUAUUAGGUCAUUUUAUUAUCUCUAUUUCCUCAUCUAAAAACUAAUCACAUGUAAUAGAGCAUAUAGAUGUUUCUCAUGAAUUAUUAGUUGACUUCAUAGAGAAAAUGAUGAAAUCUAUUACCACUUAUAGACUUGUUGUUAAUGAUAGAUUAUUACACUUAAUUUGUUUUAUUUCAAAGAACAACUACACUUGUUUUGUUUACAGAACUACUACACUUUUGAUCCUCAAUAUGCCACUGAAGAACAAGCACGUGCCUCUAUUAUAGAGCAUAUGCGUGACAACAUGCGAAAGAUUCUUAGUGAAGAAAAGGCUCGGGUUGACAAGAAGAUUCGAAAAGAUGGUGGAGAUUAUCUUAAUCACAGACCUAAAUAUUUGAAACCUAAAGUUUGGGAAAAAUUUUGUGAGUACUGGAACAGUGAUCAAUUUAAAAAGAGAUCUGCCUCUGCUAAAGCCGCCAGAGGACAUGUCAGGACCCCUCACACCUCUGGCUCUUAUACAUUUGACCGUCGUCGUAGGGUAUGAAUUGAUAAUAUAAUUUACUUUUUUAAUUAUAAUGUGUUUUACAUUGCACUACAUUUGACUUUGUGUUUUGAUGUUUUGCUUUAUCAUAUAGAACUACAAAGAUGAACAUGGUGUAGAGCAAGAGAUUAUUGAUCACUUUAUAGAAACACAUACAUUGCGGAAAAAGAGGAAGAGUGAGCAGAUUUCCAAGAAAGCAAUUGACGAUAUCGUUGUAAGUUUUAAUAUUUAAGUUUUUUACAAUUACUUAAAAGAAACAUAAAUCAUCCCUAAAUUAUAUAUAAAUAGGACUUGAAUAUUAGAUCACUGCUAAAUUAAUUUUAAAAGGACAUAAUUUAUUAUAUCUUUCAUUAUAUUAUAGGAGUAAUAGUUGUUACCUGUAAGAUUUAGUAGGUAUGUUGUUUCUUUGAAUAUCUGAAGAUAUUAAAAUGAAUUUGAUGAGAAUGAGAGCUUUUAUAGAAGAUUACUUGUACCAUUGGAAUGCUUAGAGAGAUUCUGGUAAAAAAUUUACAUGUUCAUGUCCCACAAAAUAAUAUAUACUUUUCUUGCCUACUUUGAUUGUAUUUUACUUGUUCAGUGACCUCAGGAUUCCACAUUUCUGCUUUUCCAAUCAUUGGCCCCUUCAGCAUUUUGUUUUCAUUGGCUUCUGAGAUACCAAUUAUUUUCCGUUUAUCAAGUGCAAUAUAUAUUUAUAUAACUAAAAAUCUGCAAUAUAUUAUUAUCAGCUAGCAUAUUGAUUUUGUAUUCUUCAAGUUUUCUUAUCCUAUAUGGGAGAAUAAUGUCAAGUCACUGUAGAAUUCUGAGGAUAUAAGUAUCUUAACAAAACAAACAUUCUUGAUUUUAAUUAGGACAAAAAAGAGUAGAAAUAUCAGAUCAUCGUGUAAGGCAUUCAUAUAAUCAUAUAAUCAGCCUUACCAACAAUAACCUAACCCCACAACUUUUAUAUGUUAGUGAUCAACUUCUUAAAUAAUUAGAUACUAAAUAAUUUGUUUACAGAAGCGCUACUUGGAGAUAUGCGCAGAGAAGGGCAUCGAUCCUAAAAAAACUCAGAUUCGAAGUUGGAUAGAUGCUGUUGGUCUAAAGAAGAAUAAAAUUCUGGGAUUUCCUAAGCUUCGAGCUUCUGAUAUUAUCGGUAUGAUAAAAUUUUUAGUAAUUUACAUUUCUUGUAUUAAAAAUGAUAGCUGCAUUCAUAUAUUAUUUGUAAUCUCAUGUAUUUUUGCAUACUUGAACAGGCUAUAAGGGACGUAGGGCGACCAGAAAAGGUGAGGGAGGGUCGGGAAGAUCUACUCUCACUCGCCUACGCGAUGAUCUGCUUAUGCGUGUAGUUGAUGAAACCCUUGCCCAUGCUCGGUCACAUCCUCAAGAUUACCAACUAACUGCAGAUCAAAUUCAGCUUCUUGCACAAGAUUUUGUGGAUGGAGAGUCUCAUCUCCCUGCAGACCAUCCUAUUACGCAACAACUUCAGAACCAGAUCAUCCAGGUGAUGGUUGACGUACUCAAUCAUUUGUACAAGACGCAGGGUCCAGGCAAAGUAAAGGUAAACAUAUUAUGGAGUAUAAUUUAACAGUUGUCUACACCAUAUAAUUAUUUCAAAUAAUUGUUUCCUUUUAUUUUGUAGGGGAAAGCACAUGCUGAAGAUGAUGGUGAUGAUCAUGACGAGGGUGGUGGCGAUAGUGAUGACAAUGACAAUGAUGGCGAUGGCGAUGUUGGUUCCUGUAAGAGAUCUGAUGGUGCAAUUAGAAUCACAGGGUAGCUUACUUGGUUUUCAUUUUAAGUAAGAGAUAUUUUGGUAUUCUCUACAAGCUUUUGUACUCUUCAAAUGUAGUGGACAAGUAGCUAGCUCUUUAUGUUGUAUGAUAUCCACGAAACUUUGCUACUGUUGGUUUUGCUUUGUAUCUAAGUUUAACUUAAACUCGUGACUUUAUGGUAUUGUAAAUUAGUAGCUUUUCUUUCAAUUUCGGUUGUGUUGAUGGUUUAAUGCUAUAGCGGCUAGUUUAUUAUACAGAGGAUAUGUUUUAAUGUUUGGAAGUCUAUUUGGUAUUGCUGUUGUUUGUUGUUGAUUAGAGCCAAUUUGGCUGGGAAAUGAAAAAACAGGGUAAAGAUCUCUUUGGCAGGGCAAACUUCCAACAACAUGUCUGUCAAAAAUUCGCAAAAGAAGCUGUCAAAAGUUUAUACAUGUGACAGCCAUAAUCGUCGGAAUAACAUACUUUUGACCGCAGGGAGGUUACACAACAUUUGUUGGAAAUUAAUUCUUCUUACAUAUGAAUUUUGUAAGGAGAUAAUAUUUCUGACAAACAAUUACAGUCAGUAGGAAGUUCACAACUUAUGACAAGUUUUAUCUGUCAAAAGGUUGGUGUUAUUUUUUAAUGUAAAAUUAUUUUUAUUUAAUUUUCUUUUUUAUUUAAUUGUGAACUUCCGACAGAUAGGUUGUAAGAAUUUUGUUUUUGAUUUCUAUUAUUAUUUAAUAGAAAUUCAUUUAAAUAUGAAUAAAUUAUAUUUCUGACAAUGAUGUCCGUCAGAUGUUAAGUUUAAUACUAUAAUAUGCAUGAAGUAGGCCCCACAUUUAUCUUCCGACAAAACUGAAAUUUCCAACGAGUUUCAGAACUUUUGACUACAAGUUUUCCGACAAACGUAUCCUGUCGGAAGAAAGCAUUCUUCUGACAGAAUGCAGGCUAAAAUGGCUGUCGGAAAUACCUGUAUUUGGUGUAGUGAUUAUGAUUUAGCCUAUUAACCCUCAUGGAAAUGCUCGGUCUCCUCGGCACACUUCUGUCAAGUUUCACCAGGACCAUAUUUGAAAAAGGUCAGGGUGAUCAUUUUGGGUGCAACUUUAAUGUGUUUUAAUGAUCAAGCAUAUAACAAAUAAAUAUUAAUUCUGUGCGUACACAUAUACCUACAUAAACACAAUCAAUAUUCGACAGAGAUUUGUUAUCGAUCCGAUUGCAUAUUUACCUUAACACGCACAUUGUAUUCUUGCCCUCGGCAUCAUUUUCCAUAAACUUUGUUAUCAAUCCAUUGCAUAUAUAUAUAUAUAUAUAUAUAUAUAUAUAUAUAUAUAUAUAUAUAUAUAUAUAUAUAUAUAUAUAUAUAUAUAUAUAUAUAUAUAUAUAUAUACCUUCUAAUCAAAGGUACAUGUUAUGUUUACUUACAAUGUAUCUCGAAAAUGUGAACUUACAAGCAAUACAACCCUCUUGACAGGAAGUUGCCUUCUAUAUUAUAUCUGCAGCCCGGUGAUGUAUGCUUUUAUUCUUGCCGCUAAUUCUACAAAACACAAUCAGUUUCCUCUCGGGCUUAGUGAUGGUGGCGUAGUUGUUAAAGAACUUCGGAGGAUAUUGGAAAUGGCUAUGUAGCAUGCCUUAGCUUGAGACCAGCAACAAAUGGAAACUUGAUAUGAUUUUUUGUGAUAAUAAGAGCCUGGUGCUUGAUAUGAGCUUUUGUGAUAAUAAGAGCCUGGUGUCUCUUAAAAUCUGAAGGUUUUAGCACAUACAUAUACAGAUUGGAUUAGUGCAAGGGUUUUAAAGAUGUUUUUUUGCUUGACUAUGUUAACUGAUAAAUUUUCAACGGCAAUAUAUUUGUAGACGCACAAUUUGAAAUGAUAAUUGUCAAUAUAGUAUGAAAAUAACAAAAGAAAUCCAAUAUUGUGGCAUAUACAAUAUUUUACUUAUAAAGCGGGUAAUUAGGAGCUAGUAUCCAACCCAUUCAAAUAAAGCACAUGCCCACUAUCAUCCUGAGGUCCAACAUACAAACACCCUCAUAGAUGUACGAAAAUCACCAACACUUAUUAGACCUCUAAAUGGAUCAUAUCUCCCAUCCCAUUUGAGUAUUUUAGAUGGACAUGGAUUUAUUAAUUUCAAAAUAAUCGAAUCCAACAACAAUAAUCUAAUUAUUAAAAGGACCAUAUAUGGCUUUAGGUCAAUCCCAUCCGUCUAUGAUGGAACCCCAUCAUUAUAUGCAUAUAUAAAAGAAUAUUAAUAUAAUAUUUUAAUGAUUAUAUACUCAUUAUGCUUCUCCCGUCCUAUUUGUGUAUGUCACUAAUAGUUUUGUUUCGACUUAAUGUAGUCAAACUAAUAAGUUUAAUCAACAAUUACAUAUUUUAAAAAACCACAAAACUUUUUGGUAUAUAUUAUUCAAACGAAUAUUUGACCCAAGGAUAACUUAGAAUUUUCUAAAUUGGAUUAUGAAAUUGCAAAACAUAAUUAUUUAAUGGCAUAAAUACUUCCAAUUGACUAAGUAUGAGUCAAGGAUCCAUUGACAUAUAGUUCCAUAUUUUUAAAAAAAUAAAAGCCAUUUAAGCACAAUAACCGCGUCAAGUGUUAUUUUUACCCAAGACCUUGCUACUCCGGGUCAUAUAAUUGAAAUACAUCAAUCCGCAAUAUUAAUUAGUACCGGUUUUCCAAUCCAAGUGGUUAAUAAUGCACAUGAGUGUGAUGAUAUUGGCCUAUGCAGAUCUGUUAUGUGGAUCAUUAUUAUCCCUUAUGAAUUUCAAGGUACUCACUUUGAUUAAGGGGCUGGUAUUGUAUCACGACUUUUAAUGACAAAUUUUGGGAGGAUGAUUUUAAUGGAUUUUAUGAACUUUUAAUGAGUCUUGUUGACUUCUUUAGAUUUCAAAAAAAAAAUCAUGACUCCUAAGACAAUGACUUUUAAAAACUUUAACAGACUUUUUUCUACAAAUUCAUGACUUUCAAAUACUUUAAUAGACUUUUAUUUAAAUCNCAGACUUUUUUCUACAAAUUCAUGACUUUCAAAUACUUUAAUAGACUUUUAUUUAAAUCAUAAAUAGCCUCUCAGAAGCCCUCUACCCUCUGGACCUUUUUUCUUGGGUAGUUUAUUUGUGAAAAUGUAUGUAUAGCCAAAAAUGGACCACAUCUCAAAUCGGGUCAAGUUCAAAUUGUUAAAAUUGAUUCUGUUAUAAUACGAUCCGCUAAGCCUUAUUUGGACACCCCAGGGAGCAACGGUUCCUGGCCAUUAAGGGAAAAUCCUUCACGAAGGAGAUACAUUAGUUACAUUUAUAUAUGAAAAAUUGCGAUCUGGUGAUAUAACACAAGGCCUUCCAAAAGUGGAACAGGUAUUAGAAGUGCGUUAGAUUGAUUCAAUAUCGAUGAAUCUCGAAAAGAGGGUUGAGGGUUGGCAUGAAUGUAUAACAAGAACUCUUGAAAUUCCUUGGGUGUUCUUGAUUGGUGCUGAGCUAACUAUAGUGCAAAUCGCUUUGGUUAAUAAAAUCUAAAAGAUUUAUCCAUCCCGGAGUGAAGAUCCAUAAUAGACAUAUAGAAAUUAUUGUACGUCAAAUGAUAUUAAAAGUUUUGGUAUCAGAAGAUGUGAUGUCUAAUGUUUUUUACCCGAAACAAAGAAAUCAUAUGCAAUAACCAUGGCAUUUCGUGAUUUGUUGGUAAAUCCUCCUUGAUUCUCUAUCACCAAAAAUGGGGGACCAUUAACAUAAACUAUUGUUAAAGCUAAAUCGUUUGAAGUCCAGACGCAACAUGUUACUCUUUCUACCACUAUAUGUAUAAGAGAUGUUUUCAAAACGCCAAAUUGUAACGAAGAUUUUAGUUUAUUAACGUUAUUAACAAUGAAAAAUCCUGGAAUUCCUCUUCUUUUUUUUAAAAAAAUGUAUCAAAUUGAUCAGAAUGCAAGAAACAUCACAGAACCCUUUAUUACUAUUACCCGUACUUUAUUGCUUAGUCUAUUAAUUUUGGAUUCAGUAUGGAUAAAAGAUCUUCCUAUGAUAUACUAUUUAAUUCGCGACAACGAAUUUAUUUGAUAGCGAACGAAUUCGAUUUGGUUAUUAGUAAGGCUGAAGUCAGCGAGGGUCUUGCCAUGAAAGCAUCAAAACCUCGAGUUCGAGGGUGUAGUUUUACGAUAAAACGACCUACUUGCCGUAUAGCUAUUGUUGUGAAAGAUAUAUAAUUAGAUGAAUAUCAAUAUCUAGGGUUAGACUUUACAGACACUUUCGGAUGCUCAAAAAAACUUAAAUCGAUUGGGAUAAAGUUUUAUAUAUAUUUUUUUACAAUUUGACCAAUUUGAAUAUUAAAAUGUGUUCAAUAGUGGCAUAUAGUUAUUAUGAGUGUGGUAAAUGAGUGCUUCACUCCUUUAGUUAUAGCACUAUGUAAAAUUAUGUUUCCGUAGAUGAUAGUAAUCAUAUAUUUCCUUAUAAUUUGUAUCUUCAAUGGAACUUUCAUUAGUAGAAUUAUUAUGAUAUAAUUUCUUUCUUAAUCUUAUAUAUUCAAUAACAAGUAUCCAAUUAUAUGAUCAAUAUUUUCGACAAUUUUGAUCAAAUUUACCUCCUAAAUUGCUAGCUAGAGGCCAUCCAAUAUAAUUUUAUAGAAAAAUGUUUUGAUUGAUUAUAUUAGAGAGAAAAUGAACACUUCUAAAAUCAAAUAUUGUUUUGAAUAAAAUGAUUAGUGUAAUUUAAUUUUGAAUACAUCAUCAUAAUAACUUGUAAUAUGUAAGUUUUCCUAGUCUUUAUUGAUCCUAAUGUAUUUGAUCUCAUUCUUGUAUCUAUUAUUUUAAUUAACACCAGUCAAUAUGGUGCCCUCGUGCUAGUAAUUAUCUAAAGAUUGUGGGUUGCAAUGCGAAGAGGUUCUAAUGAUAUUAUUUACAUUCAUUCUAAGAAUUUGUACAAUAUUAGGUAGGUAGAGUAUUUAGGUCGGUUAGAAAAUUUGCAAUUCUAAUUAUGGAAGAAAUUUUAGACUUUAAUUUAUACGAUAGGGUUAAUACCUUAUAAAUUAACUUUAAGGAAAGUGUUUCUACCUUAUAGAUAUUAGUGUAAUUUUAAAAAUAAGGAAGGCCGAAUUGUUCAUUUUUAGUGUAAUUUACAAAUAAAACAUAAUAUUCACAUAAAUGUAGACUUAUAGUUCUUACAUUUUACUCACUCUUCCCUUUUUAGUUGUCCCCCAUUUGGUUUUGUGCCAGUCAAAUUGACCAAAGGACGGAGAGAGUAAUAUUUUUAAGUGGCGUUAUUCCAUAUCUACUAUAUGUAUUAUAAAGGUUAUUUAAUCAUGAGAAAAUUCUUUCAUUUAAAAAGACUAUCUAACCCUUUUCAACACUGCUUGAGCCAAAGCAGAACUUUUUAUUUAAAAUGACUGCUUUAUCCUUCAGGAGCUGAUUCGAACCUAGUUCCUAACCUUGGCUUUCAGAAGCAAUGUUCAUUUCACCCAGUUCAUGCUCGACUCCUUCAGUCUUCCACACCCACACUGAAGCACUGAUUCCACGAUGAUUAAGAGAAGUGAAUUUAUCUGAUUAACAAGUUUAUGUAUCUAGCUAUCUGAUUGUUUUAGAAUAUCUGUUAAUUCUUCAUUUUGUGUGCUUUUUCGGUUUAUAUGUUCUGUUGUCGGCCCUGGAUGUUUGGAUUUUUGUUGUUUUUUUGUGUAAAUUAGGGUUUCGUGUGAUACGAAUGUGUUGUUUUUGUUCAUAAGUCCGGUUGAUUUGUGCUUGUGAUAGAUUUGUGCUUGUGAUUAAUUCGUGUUCUAAAUGUUAAUUUGAGAACCAAAUGAAUUUAUAAGAAUUGAAAACCUUCAGGUUUGUAUAGUUGUAACAGGUGAUUGGGAUGCAAUUCAGUUUUGAUAUGUAUUUCAAACGGAUUACUGAUAUGCAUCUGAGCAAAGAGUCGGGAUUACUGAUAUAAAUUUGUGUUCAACCUUCUCAGGUGAUCAGUAACAAGAAGUUACCCAAAUGAGGAUUCAUUAGACAAAUUCAUGGAGGUGAUAUUCAUUCCGAAUCUCGUCAUUUACGGCCAAUAUUAUAAAAUCCUGUGUCACUCAUUUCCUGCAAGUUGUAUCUUAACUAGAAUCAGUUUGUGUUAAUCAUGUUAAAUUGAAACCAUUUUCAGAGUGAUAGAAGAAUAUGUGGCAGAUUGAUUUGUUCUGUAGCCAAAGAAUCUCCACAGCAAGUCACCUGAUUAUUGUUUUGGCACUGUAAGAUACCUUAGCUCCUCAUCUGGAAUGUCUAAACUGCUUGAACAUACAAUUUGUGAGCUUCCAUAUAUAUUCGAUAUAUGAAAUUACGUACUUGAGUUGUUGCAUAUGCAUGCCAGUUCAUGCUCAGGUGGAUCUUAAAUUUACACUAGGUGAAGAACAAACAGUUGGCUGCUCCAACGUAAGUGUUCAUUCAAGAGUCGAAGGUAUCACUAACAACUAAUUCUUCUUCAGUAUUUGGAUAUUCUCAGAUUAUCUGGCUUGCCACAAUCAAGAGUUUGCUAUAACGAGUAAGCUUUAAACUGAGUAGAAGUAUAGAACAACUUGAGCUGAUUUUUUUUAUAGCAGUUUAGAGACUUUAAAAUACAGAUUUUCCUGAUAUACACAGGUUGUGUUUCUCGGUUGGUCUUAAAUGGUGAUGAUCACAAUUAAGCUGCUCUUAGUGAAGGUCGAAUUGCAAGGAGCUGAAGGUUUAGGGUUCUUUGCCUUUUUUUAGGUCAAUUCUUGUAGUCUAGUGUUUAGCAAUUAGCUUUGUACUUCUGUUGCUUUUGAUAUUUUCUGAUUCUGUUUCUGCAAGGUUGAACUUGAACAUUUUACCCUAUACUAGAACAGUCUGAUACACAUGAGUAUUAAAGAAAUAUUGAGCUUCAUCCAUCUAAUUCCCAGAACCUAUUAUUGUAUGAAUGUGUUUCCUAACACUAUAAUUACAUACACAGGAGGGUGACUUCCAGAUGGAUUCACCGCAUCUCUGAUUCUCCCUUUGCUUCCAAACAGUAAAUUUAAACUGAAAAUUAUUACUGAGAUAUGCCCAUCGAAGAACACGACAUUAGAUGUUUGUUACUUUAUUCCCUCUCCUCAAGUAUUUGCAUAUGCUUUCUAUAUAUGAAUCUUCUUCUGUUAUUAUGUUUUUUGUCUUUUGACAAUAUUAGUUCUGAAUAUUUGAUGCAGGGUCUUUACCGGUCACCAGAAAUUUCAUCACACAAUGUGAAACAGCGAAUUUUCGGAAAAUCCUAAUUGUCGUAGUGUAUAUGAUGUAAAAACUCUUCAAUGUCAUGAGCCUGAUCAAGUGCCCCUCAUUUCAAUGAUCCAGUGAUACACUGUAUCACUUUGGUAUCUCUGCUCCUUAUUUUAUCUGGCCUUUAACAUAGGAAUUUCAUUGGGUUACUGAUUCUGCAGAUAUUGAAGAUAGACUUUCCAAAGCAAUAGUGUCAUUUGACAUUGAAGAUGAACAAUUCAAUUUUUUUUACAUGGAUGGAUCCACCUAAAAUUCCUCUUGAAGAGCGAGUGAUUAUCGAUACAUUAAAUGACUCACUUUCACUGGUUGUUCCUCACAAAAGUUUUCUAAACUCNAUAUUCGAUAUAUGAAAUUACGUACUUGAGUUGUUGCAUAUGCAUGCCAGUUCAUGCUCAGGUGGAUCUUAAAUUUACACUAGGUGAAGAACAAACAGUUGGCUGCUCCAACGUAAGUGUUCAUUCAAGAGUCGAAGGUAUCACUAACAACUAAUUCUUCUUCAGUAUUUGGAUAUUCUCAGAUUAUCUGGCUUGCCACAAUCAAGAGUUUGCUAUAACGAGUAAGCUUUAAACUGAGUAGAAGUAUAGAACAACUUGAGCUGAUUUUUUUUAUAGCAGUUUAGAGACUUUAAAAUACAGAUUUUCCUGAUAUACACAGGUUGUGUUUCUCGGUUGGUCUUAAAUGGUGAUGAUCACAAUUAAGCUGCUCUUAGUGAAGGUCGAAUUGCAAGGAGCUGAAGGUUUAGGGUUCUUUGCCUUUUUUUAGGUCAAUUCUUGUAGUCUAGUGUUUAGCAAUUAGCUUUGUACUUCUGUUGCUUUUGAUAUUUUCUGAUUCUGUUUCUGCAAGGUUGAACUUGAACAUUUUACCCUAUACUAGAACAGUCUGAUACACAUGAGUAUUAAAGAAAUAUUGAGCUUCAUCCAUCUAAUUCCCAGAACCUAUUAUUGUAUGAAUGUGUUUCCUAACACUAUAAUUACAUACACAGGAGGGUGACUUCCAGAUGGAUUCACCGCAUCUCUGAUUCUCCCUUUGCUUCCAAACAGUAAAUUUAAACUGAAAAUUAUUACUGAGAUAUGCCCAUCGAAGAACACGACAUUAGAUGUUUGUUACUUUAUUCCCUCUCCUCAAGUAUUUGCAUAUGCUUUCUAUAUAUGAAUCUUCUUCUGUUAUUAUGUUUUUUGUCUUUUGACAAUAUUAGUUCUGAAUAUUUGAUGCAGGGUCUUUACCGGUCACCAGAAAUUUCAUCACACAAUGUGAAACAGCGAAUUUUCGGAAAAUCCUAAUUGUCGUAGUGUAUAUGAUGUAAAAACUCUUCAAUGUCAUGAGCCUGAUCAAGUGCCCCUCAUUUCAAUGAUCCAGUGAUACACUGUAUCACUUUGGUAUCUCUGCUCCUUAUUUUAUCUGGCCUUUAACAUAGGAAUUUCAUUGGGUUACUGAUUCUGCAGAUAUUGAAGAUAGACUUUCCAAAGCAAUAGUGUCAUUUGACAUUGAAGAUGAACAAUUCAAUUUUUUUUACAUGGAUGGAUCCACCUAAAAUUCCUCUUGAAGAGCGAGUGAUUAUCGAUACAUUAAAUGACUCACUUUCACUGGUUGUUCCUCACAAAAGUUUUCUAAACUCAAGCUUUUAUAUAUGGGUGAUGGAUGACUAGGGGAAAUAGGUAUCUCUUGGACUAGGCGAUACAUCACCCGUCUAUAAAAGCUUGAGUUUAGAAAACUUGUGUAAGGAACAAUCACUGAAAGUGAGUCAUUUAAUGGAUCGAUAAUAACUGGCUUUUGAAGAGGAAUUUUAAAAGGAUCUAGCUAUUAAAAAAAAUUGAAUUGUUCAUCUUCAAUGUCAAAUGAAACUACUGCUUUGGAAAGUCUAUCUUCAAUACCUGCAGAAUCAGUAACCCAAUGAAAUGCCUAUUUUAAAGGUCAGAUGAAAUAAUGAGCAGAGAUACCAAAGAGUAUCAGUGGAUCAUUGAAAUGAGGGGCACUUGAUCAGGCUCAUGACAUGGAAGAGUUGUUACAUCAUGUGCACUACGACAAUUAGGAUAUUGGACAAAUGAUCUUCCUAUAAUGACAACAUAUGAGAGCAUUUUUUUUUUAUGACCCUAAAAUCCAGGAACGGAAGAACACUCCAGUUUUUUGUAUUUCACUACAUUCCGCCAUUAUGUUGAAACUUUGGAAACAGUCACCUGGGAUAUUGAAUAUUCAGGAAGGGCUGUCCAGUGAUGUAAUUCCCUGCCCUUGCAUAGUGUAUCUAUUAACACUGCAUGAUCUAAUAUCUCUGAAGCAUUGUUGAAGAAUAUUAAAUUAUAACAUCCGGUUAAAAAUAUGAAAGGAAAUAUCUCCGUAAUAGUUUCAAAAUGUUACCGGCGGUUUAACACUAACUAAUGCUGCUUUUGUGAGCUUUUUCUACUUUACUUUGUAUAGCACACACUGUUCAGUUAAAGCAAUGGGGCUUUAGGGAGCUUAAUUUGCUCUAAUUUGCUUUGUAGCGCACACACUAUUCACUAAAACCUAAUGAGGCUUUUGGGAGGUUUGCUCUCUUUUGUAUUGUAGGGCACACACCAUGUUGAGUAAAAACUAAUGUAACAUGUGAUGGGAGCACAACGAUUUUUUGAAGUUGAUUACUAUUAGGUACAUAUUCUAUCAUGAGUAACCACCACGACAAUAAUGUCUGCAUUCCAUAUUUUAUAUAUAUAUAUUCGAAAUGAUAUGUCUUGUGUUGACUUAAUUUUUUUGGACCUAACCUACGUUGUGGUUGNCCUAUUAUUGUAUGAAUGUGUUUCCUAACACUAUAAUUACAUACACAGGAGGGUGACUUCCAGAUGGAUUCACCGCAUCUCUGAUUCUCCCUUUGCUUCCAAACAGUAAAUUUAAACUGAAAAUUAUUACUGAGAUAUGCCCAUCGAAGAACACGACAUUAGAUGUUUGUUACUUUAUUCCCUCUCCUCAAGUAUUUGCAUAUGCUUUCUAUAUAUGAAUCUUCUUCUGUUAUUAUGUUUUUUGUCUUUUGACAAUAUUAGUUCUGAAUAUUUGAUGCAGGGUCUUUACCGGUCACCAGAAAUUUCAUCACACAAUGUGAAACAGCGAAUUUUCGGAAAAUCCUAAUUGUCGUAGUGUAUAUGAUGUAAAAACUCUUCAAUGUCAUGAGCCUGAUCAAGUGCCCCUCAUUUCAAUGAUCCAGUGAUACACUGUAUCACUUUGGUAUCUCUGCUCCUUAUUUUAUCUGGCCUUUAACAUAGGAAUUUCAUUGGGUUACUGAUUCUGCAGAUAUUGAAGAUAGACUUUCCAAAGCAAUAGUGUCAUUUGACAUUGAAGAUGAACAAUUCAAUUUUUUUUACAUGGAUGGAUCCACCUAAAAUUCCUCUUGAAGAGCGAGUGAUUAUCGAUACAUUAAAUGACUCACUUUCACUGGUUGUUCCUCACAAAAGUUUUCUAAACUCAAGCUUUUAUAUAUGGGUGAUGGAUGACUAGGGGAAAUAGGUAUCUCUUGGACUAGGCGAUACAUCACCCGUCUAUAAAAGCUUGAGUUUAGAAAACUUGUGUAAGGAACAAUCACUGAAAGUGAGUCAUUUAAUGGAUCGAUAAUAACUGGCUUUUGAAGAGGAAUUUUAAAAGGAUCUAGCCAUUAAAAAAAAUUGAAUUGUUCAUCUUCAAUGUCAAAUGAAACUACUGCUUUGGAAAGUCUAUCUUCAAUACCUGCAGAAUCAGUAACCCAAUGAAAUGCCUAUUUUAAAGGUCAGAUGAAAUAAUGAGCAGAGAUACCAAAGAGUAUCAGUGGAUCAUUGAAAUGAGGGGCACUUGAUCAGGCUCAUGACAUGGAAGAGUUGUUACAUCAUGUGCACUACGACAAUUAGGAUAUUGGACAAAUGAUCUUCCUAUAAUGACAACAUAUGAGAGCAUUUUUUUUUUAUGACCCUAAAAUCCAGGAACGGAAGAACACUCCAGUUUUUUGUAUUUCACUACAUUCCGCCAUUAUGUUGAAACUUUGGAAACAGUCACCUGGGAUAUUGAAUAUUCAGGAAGGGCUGUCCAGUGAUGUAAUUCCCUGCCCUUGCAUAGUGUAUCUAUUAACACUGCAUGAUCUAAUAUCUCUGAAGCAUUGUUGAAGAAUAUUAAAUUAUAACAUCCGGUUAAAAAUAUGAAAGGAAAUAUCUCCGUAAUAGUUUCAAAAUGUUACCGGCGGUUUAACACUAACUAAUGCUGCUUUUGUGAGCUUUUUCUACUUUACUUUGUAUAGCACACACUGUUCAGUUAAAGCAAUGGGGCUUUAGGGAGCUUAAUUUGCUCUAAUUUGCUUUGUAGCGCACACACUAUUCACUAAAACCUAAUGAGGCUUUUGGGAGGUUUGCUCUCUUUUGUAUUGUAGGGCACACACCAUGUUGAGUAAAAACUAAUGUAACAUGUGAUGGGAGCACAACGAUUUUUUGAAGUUGAUUACUAUUAGGUACAUAUUCUAUCAUGAGUAACCACCACGACAAUAAUGUCUGCAUUCCAUAUUUUAUAUAUAUAUAUUCGAAAUGAUAUGUCUUGUGUUGACUUAAUUUUUUUGGACCUAACCUACGUUGUGGUUGGCCAUGUAUUUUUCGGUCAUGCAUAAUUGAUACUAUAUUUUUUGAUCUUUUUAUCUAAAAAAAUUUCUUUCCUUCUCUUUUUAUUUUUCAAAUACUUUGAUUCACAUGUAUAUUUUUGAUGUGAUUUAUCUCUUGUAAUACUACCCAUUUACAGUUUGUAAAACUAGUUAUUACUAUUCUACACUUUUACUACAAUCAGACUAUGGAAAAAAACUUUUCCCGACCACCUGCUGCAACUUCAGUUAUGUUCUAUCCUGAGGAAAAUAAUAUCGUUAUCAUCAGCAGGGAGGAUGGCUCUAUACUAAUCUAUUGUCUUCAGAAAGAGAUGGUCUUUAUCUAUAUAUACUGAUAUCUAAGUGUUGUGCAUCAAAAAUGAAUCAUCAUUUAGCUAUUAAGUUCCUUGUUAUCUAUUUGGCUUAUAUAGAUGAUUGCCGAGAUAACGAUCAGAGUGACUGGCCUUGCCUAUUCUAGUGCAUUAAAUAUCCUUUUAUCGUCUGGAUAAGAUGCUCAGGUACAUUUUUAAAGUGGAAGGCUAAUAGAAGAUAUCAGAUUGUUCGGCACAUUUCUGUCAAGUGUCACCAGGACCAAAGACAUUUGUUAGUUGUACAUGAAAGCUGUAUAGCCACUCCCUAGGGACCUAACCUCGAGCCCUGCAAGCAGGUAUCUGCAAAUUAUUUGCAGUGUUGACAAUUAAUUUGUAUGCUUUGUUGAAUAUCACAACAUGCUUCACCCACGCUUUAUUAGACCUUAUUUGAAAGAGGUCGGGGUGAUCAUUUUGGGUGCAACUAUAAUGUGUUUUAAUGAUCAAGCACAUAACAAAGAUAUAUUAAUUGUGUGUGUACAUAUAUACCUACAUGAACACAAAUCAUAUUUGACAGAACUUGACAUUGAUUUUUCUAAAAUAGCCCCUGGUGCAAUAUCAUGUACAUGUCGCUCUGCUAUUGAGAGAUCUAAGUUCUUAAUGACAGAAGAAAAUUCUCAAGCUCUUUAAAUAUUUCUUGCAGAGUGCAGUAGAUUCCUGGGGAAUUGAUCAGUGAUGCUGCAUAUAUAUUCAUGUGAUGACCAGUCCAUAUAUGCCUGCCUUUUUAAAAGGCACAUUGUUAAUUUUCUUGGACUCGGCAUCUUUGACCAAAAAGUUUUUAUAUCAACAACUGAGAACUUGAUAUGAGCUUUUGUCAUAAUCACAGCCCAGUGUCUCCUUGAAAUCUAUAUGUUCUAAAACAUACAUCUGGGGAUUGGAUUCGUGCAAGAGUUCUGAAGUUUUUUUUUGCUUGACUAUGUUAAGUGAAAAAUGUUCAAUGCAAAUAUACACGUAGUGAAGAAUUUGAAAUAAUAAUUGUCAACAGAGUAUGAAAAUGAGAAAAGAAAGCCAAUAUUUUGGCAUAUAAUACAAUGUUUCACUUAUACCACCCGUAAUUUUCAAUGCAAAUAUACAUGUAGCUGCCCAAUUUCAAAAGAGAAUUAUUAAAACAAAUAUGCAAAUAUUCAUGCUUGACUAUGUUAAUUGUAUUUGUUUUAAUUUGAAUAUACAUGUAGAAGCAAAAUAUGAAAUGAGAACUGUCAACAUAGUAUGAAAUAUGAAAAUAAUAAAAGAAACCCAAUAUUUUUGUAUUCGGAGCGUGUGACACGACACAUUUCCGAGUAUCGGAUUUGGCAUUAUCGAAAAUUCUGGACACAGUUAUAAUGUCCAAAUUAAUUGUGGACAUGGAUACGGGGACACAACGAAUUUUAAAAUAAUUAUUUAUUUUCAUUUGAGAAAUAAAUAAAAGAAUAUAUAUUUCAUUAUUUUUUAGUUGAAAAUGUGCAUUUGAUUGAUUUAUAAACUACAAAAAUUAACAACUAUUACAGAUGUAUUUAACAGUUUUCUUGCCAAUAUUCAUGUAAAGCAAAAAUUGUGCAUAGUAAAGUAAAAGAAAGUGAAAAAGGAAAACAGCUGGAUAAUGAAUGUAUACUUAAAGAAGUCUAGAUACAUUUGUAAUAUAUAAUACAUCUCAAUACAUGUAUUCCUCGAUCUUUUCACCCUUUUACUAUCAUCUUCUUCAUUUCUCUCCACCUUUUCACCGCUUCUUAUCUUCUUGAAGCCUAUAAAAGGCUGCUGCUCUGCAUAAAAAUAUUGUACUGAGUUUGAAAACCAGAAAAAUAAAACAAAAGAGCCGAAGCUCUAAUCAAGUUGUAGCUUUGAGUUGGUGAAAUAAAAAGUGUGUGUUUGUUUGUUAUACAGCCUAUACAUAUUAAUAUUGCCUGUGUUUAAAUACUUAUAAGGUCCAUUUCGUUUCCAACAAGUGGCAUCAGAGCUAGGUUAUUUCGGAGAAGAAAAAAAUGUCAAAUAUGAUGGCGCAACCACAAAUCCCAAAGUUGACGGCAACAAAUUACGGGAACUGGAGUAUCCAAAUGAAGGUGUUACUCGGUUCAUACGAUAAUUGGGAUAUUGUCGAAAGUGGGUAUGACGAGCCCGAGGAUGAAGCCGUUCUUUCUGAUGCGGAGAAAACGGCGUUAAAAGAUUCCAAGAAAAAAGACCAAAGGGCGUUAUAUACAAUUAUUCAAGGAGUUGAUGAGUCAACCUUUGAAAAAAUUUCAAAUGCAAAAACGGCGAAAGAUGCGUGGGAGAUUUUGCAGAAAUCAUUCCAGGGUGUCGAGAAAGUCAAAAAGGUUCGGCUCCAAGUUCUACGUGGGGAGUUCGAAAAUUUGAAGAUGAAGAGUUCUGAAAAUAUUGGUGAAUUUGUUACACGUUUGAAAACGGUGACAAAUGAGAUGAAAAGAAAUGGAGAAAGUCUCGAUGAUGUUCGGGUCAUGGAAAAGUUGCUCCGUUCAUUAACAAGAAAAUUUGAUUAUGUUGUGACAUCCAUCGAGGAGUCAAAAGACCUAUCCACAAUUUCUAUUGAUGAGCUCGUAGGUUCUCUUCAAGCCCACGAGCAGCGAAUGAAUCAGUAUGAUGAUGCAAGCCAUUUGGAAAAGGCGUUGCAAAGUAAGGUGUCCAUUGGUGACAUUUCUAGAAGUAGCAGUUCUGCACGUGGCAGAGGUGGCUUUAGAGGUGGCUACCGUGGUGGACGAGGACGAGGAAGGUAGUCUUUCAAUAGAGGCCAGACAUCUGAAGGCUAUCAGCCAUCUGGUCGUGGUCAAAAUUUCAGAGGCCGAGGACGAGGCGGAUUUCAACAACGAGGUGAAAAGUCUCAGUUUCAAUGUUAUAAUUGUAAUAAAUUUGGUCACUUCAGUUAUGAGUGUAGAGCACCAAAAGUGGAAGAAAGGAGUCAUUUUGCUGAAGCAAAAGAAGAUAAAGAUGUUGGCUCUGCUAUGUUUCUCACUUACAAAGGAGAUGAAGAAGGCAAGAAAAAUACAUGGUAUCUUGACUCGGGAGCCAGCAAUCACAUGACUGGUCAUAAGGAAUUAUUCACGGAGAUAGACGACACCAUUAGCGGAGAAGUUACUUUUGGUGACUCGUCAAAGAUUCCGGUCAAAGGAAAAGGUACCGUCACGAUCAUGACAAAGAGAGGUGAAAAGAAAUAUGUAAAUGAUGUUUAUUAUAUUCCUGCACUGAAAAAUGAUAUUAUCAGUCUUGGUCAACUUGUGGAGAAAGGAUAUAAUAUACAGAUGCAAGACAAUUCCCUCAUUAUCAGAAAUCAAGCUCGGGAAUCGAUUGCAAAUGUGGAGAUGUCGAAGAAUCGUUUGUUUACGCUUGAUAUGCAAACGAAGAUGCAAAAGUGUUUAAAGUCGGUCAUUAAAAAUGACUCGUGGUUGUGGCACUUGAGAUAUGGUCAUCUUGGAUUUUCUGGCCUGAAAUUAUUGUCAAAGACAAAAAUAGUGAACGGCUUGCCAGAAAUCAACGAACCACAAAAUUUGUGUGAAGCAUGUAUAAAGGGGAAGCAACAUCGACAAAGUUUUCCCGUUGGAAAAUCAUGGAGAGCUAGGAGGCCAUUGGAGAUAGUUCACACAGAUAUUGCUGGUCCAUUUGAUAUCUCAUCACUUGGAGGUAAUAGAUAUUACCUAACAUUUAUUGAUGACUUUAGCAAGAAAAGUUGGGUGUAUAUCAUCAAAGAAAAGUCGGAGGCUCUUGAUAAAUUCAAGGAGUUCAAAGCACUGGCAGAAAAGCAAAGUGGUCAUUAUUUGAAGAUACUCAGAUCAGACAGAGGAGGCGAGUAUACUUCUAAUUUGUUCAGAAAUUUUUGUAGAGCACAUGGAAUCAAUCAUCAGUUGACAACAGCAUAUACUCCUCAACAAAAUGGUGUUGCAGAAAGAAAGAAUCGCACUAUUCUUGACAUGGCAAGGAGCAUGGUGAAAGCAAAGCACUUGCCAAGAACUUUUUGGGCCGAAGCCGUGUUAUGUGCCGUUUAUUUGUUGAAUUGCUGUCCUACAAAAAGUGUCAGAAACAAAACUCCAAAUGAAGCAUGGAGUGGGAGCAAACCAUCUGUGGGACAUCUCAGAAUUUUUGGGUGUACUGCAUAUGCCCAUGUUCCUAAUCAGAAAAGGAAGAAGUUGGAUGAUAAAGGCGAGAAGUGCAUAUUUACCGGAUAUGACAAAAGGAGCAAGGCGUACAGACUCUAUAAUCCCCUGACGAAGAAUUUAAUCAUUUCUCGAGAUGUUGAGUUUGAUGAAUCAGAUUACUGGAGAUGGAGUGAUGAAGAAAGAAAAGUUGCUGGUUUAUUUCUCAACGAUGAUCAUGAUGAUGAUGACGGUGAUGAUAAUGCCAACAUUGAAGCUGGGGGAGAUGAUGAUCCUACUCCUCCACAAAGUCUGAAUCAACAAACUCCCGCAUCAACACCAUCAGAUUCAAGUGGAAGCAGAAGUUCAGGGGGAGCACCAAGAAAAAUGCGGAGUCUGGAUAAUAUCAAUGAAGCAACGAGUCCGGUACAAACAACCGUUGAUUAUUCCUUAUUUUGUCUAAUGGCUGAAUGUGAUCCAGUUACAUUUGAGGAAGCUUCUGAAGAAAGCAUAUGGAACAAAGCCAUGGAUGAAGAAAUUGGUGCAAUAAAGAAAAAUGAUACUUGGGGAGCUCACAGAUCUUCCAGAAGUACACAAAGCAAUUGGUGUCAAAUGGGUCUACAAGACCAAGACGAAUCAGGAUGGAGAAGUGGAGAAAUACAAGGCGAGGCUAGUUGCUAAAGGCUACAAGCAAAGAUACGGGAUUGACUAUGAUGAGGUGUUUGCUCCAGUUGCACGAGUUGACACCAUCAGAAUUCUCACAGUAAUUGCUGCUCAAAAUCGAUGGAAGAUUUUUCAGAUGGACGUGAAGUCGGCAUUUCUAAAUGGUUAUCUCGAAGAAGAAGUCUACAUCGAGCAACCUCCAGGAUAUAUUCAGAAAGGCCAGGAAGAUAAAAUCUACCGGCUAAAGAAAGCAUUGUACGGUCUAAAACAAGCACCGAGAGCAUGGAACACAAGGGUUGAUGAGUACUUCCAGAAAAAUGGUUUUGUGAAGAGUCCAUACGAGCAUGCUCUCUACACGAAAACAAAUUCAGGGGGAGAUAUUAUGAUCGUUUGCUUAUACGUGGAUGACAUGAUAUUUACCGGAAACAAUCCUGGUAUGUUUGAUGAUUUUGAGAAAGUUAUGACUAAUGAAUUUGAGAUGACAGAUAUUGGUCAAAUGUCAUACUUUCUUGGAGUCAAUCAAAGCAAGGAUGGAAUUUUUAUGUCUCAGAAAAAAAUAUGCCGAGCAGAUUCUAAAGAAGUUUAGAAUGGGGGAAUGCAAGCUAGUGAGCACGCCAGCAGAAGCAAGCAUAAAGCUCAGAAUUGAUUCAACGAGGGAGUGGGUAAAUCCGACAUUGUUCAAGAGUUUGGUUGGAAGUCUAAGGUACCUAACUUUCACUCGUCCGGAUAUCAUGUAUGCAGUCGGAUUCGUUACUAGGUACAUGGAGAAGCCAAAGGAAGAUCACUUCAUAGCAGCUAAAAGAAUUUUGAGAUAUAUUAAAGGUACACUUGAUUAUGGUUUAUUUUACACUCAUUCUCAAGAUUCAAAAUUAGUUGGCUAUUCAGAUAGUGAUUAUGGUGGAGACUUGGAUGACGGGAAAAGCACAUCAGGAUAUGCUUUUCAUAUUGGUUCGGCUAUAUUCUCAUGGUCAUCAAAGAAGCAACAUACAGUCACUCUCUCAACAUGUGAGGCAGAAUACAUCGCAGUAGCAGCGUGCGCAUGUCAAGCUAUGUGGCUAGGCUAUAUUUUGGGCGAGUUAAAUCUUGCAAAGGAAGAACCGGUUACUAUUUUUGUAGACAACAAAUCCGCAGUUUCACUUGCGAAAAAUCCGGUGUCACACAGUUGCAGCAAGCACAUCAAUAUUAAAUAUCAUUUUAUUCGAGAAAAAGUUAACGAUAAAAUCGUGGAACUGGUGCACUGCAAGACCGAAGAAAAUUUGGCAGAUAUAUUCACGAAGCCGUUGAAGCCGGAUACGUUUCAGAAAAUGAAGAAGAAGCUCGGGAUGGAAAGUCGAGUUUGAGGGGGAGUGUUAGAAUUUCAAACUCUCCAGCUAGCAAUUUAUUAAUGGGUUGGCUUACGGUGCAUGCAUAAAUUAAGGUUGGCAGUAGAAAAAUAUAAUGUGAAAGAAUGACUGCAGGUAUGUAACUUCUGGACAACAUUAAAUGAAGUCAAAGAUGAUGGCUCCAGAUUUAUGAGUUGCAGCAACUAUACAAAGCAGGAGUAUUAGAUAAGCACAGCUGGGUGAAACAUCUGGAUGAUAAGAAGGUGAUGCAGCUGCUUAAAAGUUUAUGGAUGAUAUUGAAUGCUUAAUAUAUAAGUAAUUAUUAUAAGCUACGACAUGGCCUUGCACUAAACCAGGAGGAGUAAAUACUACAGGUCAUAGUCCAAAUUGCAGGCUGUAAUAUUAAAUAUGGUGUGAGGUAUGCAAUAAUGAUGUACGACGGUGAACUUGAAGCCUAUAAAAGGCUGCUGCUCUACAUAAAAAUAUUGUACUGAGUUUGAAAACCAGAAAAAGAAAACAAAAGAGCCGAAGCUCUAAUCAAGUUGUAGCUUUGAGUUGGUGAAAUAAAAAGUGUGUGUUUGUUUGUUAUACAGCCUAUACAUAUUAAUAUUGCGUGUGUUUAAAUACUUAUAUGGUCCAUUUCGUUUCCAACAGAAUUGAAGUUUGCUAAACAAUGAAGAAAAUGCUUCAAAACUAGGGGUAAGAAUGUCAGAUUAUUGAAUUAUACUACAAUCUUGAAAAAUAAAAAUUUUCACUGUACGUUUAUGCUAUAUACUGUUUGGUUAUUUCAGGGGUUUUUAUGAGUAUACAAUUGUUUACCAAGUACAGUGAAGCCAGGGGUACCCAUUAGCUCUAAGCAGUACAUGUUAUAACAUAUAAAACAAAGGCAAAAAGUUCUGCUCUCCUGCUGCCAAGAAGGCCGAUGUUGUUGACGUGGAGGCGUGAGAGUCGUUGGAUGUGAUCUGUUCUGCUAGUUUUUACUGUUUUAGUUUAAUGUGGUUAAUGGGAUGCAGGUCUAGGCUAGUAGUAGUCUAGUCAUAAAAGUUCAGUAUUUUGGGUGUUUAGAUGGAUGGUUAAAUUUGAACUUGAUAGACAGCUUUGUAUACAACCCUCUAGACAGGAAGUUGCUUUCUAUAUUAUAUCUACAGCCCGGUGAUGUAUGCUUCUGUUCUUGCGGCUAAUCCUACAAAACACAAUCAGUUUGCUCUCGGGCUUAGUGAUGGUGGCGUACUUGUUAAAAAACUUCGGAGGAUAUUGGAAAUGGCUAUGUAGCAUGCCAUAGCUUGAGACCAGCAACAAAUGAAAACUUGAUAUGAGCUUUUGUGAUAAUCAGAGCCGGGUGUCUCUUAGAAUCUGAAUGUUUUAGCACAUACAUGUACAGAUUGGAUUAGUGCAAGGGUUUUAAAGAUGUUUUUCUGCUUGGCUAUGUUAACUAAUAAAUUUUCAAUGCGAAUAUAUUUAUAGCCGCACAAUUUGAAAUGAUAAUUGUCAAUAUAGUAUGAAAAUAACAAAAGAAAUCCAAUAUUUUACUUAUAAAACCGGUAAUUAGGAGGUAGUAUCCAACCCAUUCUAAUAAAGCACAUGCCCACUAUCAGCCUGAGGUCGAACAUACAAACACCCUCGUAGAUGUACGAAAAUCACCAACACUUAAUAGACCUCUAAAUGGAUCAUAUCACCCAUCCGGCCAUUUGAGUCUAUUUUAAAUGGACAUGGAUUUAUUAAUUUCAAAAAAAUCGAAUCCAACAACAGUAAUCUAAUUAUUAAAUGGACCAUAUAUGGCUUUAGGUCAAUCCGAUCCGUCUAUGAUGGAACCCCAUCAUUAUAUGCAUAUAUAAAAGAAUAAUAUAAUAUUUAAUAAUUAUAUACUCUUUAUGCUUCUCAAGUCUUAUGUAUGUCACUUAUAAAACUCAAACAUUUAGAAAAAAUGAUAUUGGAAUACUUAUAAUUCUAUUUUUAUAAUAAUAGUUUCGUUUCGACUUAAUUUAGUCAAACUAAUAAUUUUAAUGAACAAUCACAUAUUUUAUAAAACCACGAAACUUUUUGGUAUAUAUUAUUCAAACGAAUAUUUGACCCAAGGAUAACUUAAAAAUUUUUUAAAUUGGAUUAUGAAAUUGCAAAACAUAAUUAUUUAAUGGCAUAAAUACUUCCAAUUGACUAAGUAUGAGUCAAGGAUCCAUUGACAUAUAGUUCCAUAUUUUAAAAAUAAAAAUAAAAGCCAUUUAAGCACAAUAACUGCGUCAAGUGUUAUUUUUACCCUAAGACUUUGUUACUCCGGGUCUUAUAACUGAAAUACACCAAUCCGCAAUAUUAGUACCUGCUCUCCAAUCCGAGUGGUUAAUAAUGCACGUAAGUGUGAUGAUAUUGGGCUAUGCAGCUCUUUUAUGUGGAUCAUUAUUAUCCGUUAUGAAUUUCAAGGUUCUCACUUUAACUAAAAUUAAGAAUUACGGGAUUCUCAUUCAGGGGACUAGACUACUCUAUAAUUUCAUAAUUUUUCUUGGGCAGUUUGUUUGUGAAAUUGCAUGUAUAGCCAAAAACGGACUACAUCUCAAAUCGGGUCAAGUUCAAAUUGUUAAAAUUGAUUUUGUAGUAAUACGAUCCGCUAAGCUUUAUUUGGCCACCCCAGGGAGCAAUGGUUCAUGGCCAUUAAGGGAAAAUCCUUCACGAAGGAGAUACAUUAGUUACAUUUACAUAUGAAAAAUUGCGAUCUAAUGAUAUAACACAAGGCCUUCCAAAAGUGGAACAUGUAUUAGAAGUGCGUUCGAUUGAUUCAACAUCGAUGAAUCUCGAAAAGAGGGUUGAGGGUUGGCAUGAAUGUAUAACAAGAACUCUUGAAAUUCCUUGGGGGUUCUUGAUUGGUGCUGAGCUAACUAUAGUGCAAAUCGCUUUGGUUAAUAAGAUCCAAAAGAUUUUUCCAUCCCGAAGUGCAGAUCCAUAAUAGACAUAUAGAAAUUAUUGUACGUCAAAUAAUAUCAAAAGUUUUGGUUUCAGAAGAUGUGAUGUCUAAUGUUUUCUUACCUGAAACAAAGAAAUCAUAUGCAAGAACCAUGGUAUUUAGUGAUUUGUUGGUAAAUCCGCUUUGAUUCUCUAUCAACCAAAAAUGGGGGACCAUUAACAUAAACUAUUGUUAAAGCUAAAUCAAUUGAAGUCCGACGCAACAUGUUACUCUUUCUACCAUUAUAUGUAUAAGAGAUGUUUUCAAAACGCCAAAUUGUAAUGAAAAUUUUAGUUUAUUAACGUUAUUAACAAUGAAAAAUCCUAGAAUUUUUCUUCUUUUUUCUUAAAAAAACGUAUCAAAUUGAUCAGAAUGCAAGAAACAUCACACAACCCUUUGUCACUGUUACCCGUACUUUAUUGCUUAGUCUAGCUUUAAUGGAAACUUUAACAAUUUAUGAUCUAAUUGUAGCAUUAGCACUUUUAUCUGCGAAUUCUUUUGCUCAAUUUAUAAUGUGAAGUUUAAAAGAAAAUCUUGUAUUCAAAGUAAUUUUGGAUUCAGUAGGGAUAAAAGAUCUUCCUAUGAUAUAUUAUUUAAUUCGCGACAACGAAUUUAUUUGAUAGCCAACGAAUCCGAUUUGGUUAUUAGUAAGGCCGAAGUCAGCGAGGGUGUUGCCACGAAAGAAUCAAAACCUCGAGCUCGAGGGUGUAGUUUUACGAUAAAAAGACCUACUUGCCGUAUAGCUAUUGUUGUGAAAGAUAUAUGAUUAGAUGAAUAUCAAUAUCUAAGGGGUAGACUUUAUAGACUCUUUCGGAUGCUAAAAAAAACUUAAAUCGAUUGGGAUAAAGUUUUAUAUAUUUUUACAAUUUCACCAAUUUGAAUAUUAAAAUGUGUUCAAUAGUGGCAUAUAGUUAUUAUGAGUGAGGUAAAAGAGUGCUUCACUCCUUUAGUUAUAGCACUAUGCAAAAUUAUGUUUCCGUAGGUGAUAGUAAUCAUAUAUUUCUUUAUAAUUUGUAUCUUCAAUGGAACUUUCAUUAGUAGAAUUAUUAUGAUAUAAUUUCUUUUUUAAUCUUAUAUAUUCAAUAACAAGUAUACAAUUAUAUGAUCAAUAUUCUCAACAAUUUUGAUUAAAUUUACCUCCUAAAUUGCUCGCUAGAGACCGUCCAAUAUAAUUUUAUAGCAAAAUGUUUUGAUUGAUUAUAUAUGAGAGAAAAUGAACACUUCUAAAACUAUAUAUUGUUUUGAAUAAAAUGAUUAGUGUAAUUUAAUUUUGAAUACAUCAUCAUAAUACUUGUAAUAUGUAAGUUUUCCUAGUCUUUAUUGAUCCUAAUGUAUUUGAUCUCAUUCUUGUAUCUCUAUUAUUUUAAUUCACGCGAGUCAAUAUGGUGCCCUGGUGCUAGUAAUUAACUAAAGAUUGUGGGUGGCAAUGCGAAGAGUAUUUAGGUCGGUUAUUUAAAUUCAUUUUAAGAAUUUGUACAAUCUUAGGUAGGUAGAGUAUUUAGGUCGGUUAGAAAAUUUGCAAUCUUAAUUAUGGAAGAAAUUUUAGACUUUAAUUUAUACAAUAGGGUUAAUACCUUAUAAAUUACAUUAGUGUAACUUUAAGGAAAGUGUUUUUACCUUAUAGACAUUAGUGUAAUUUAAAAUAUAAGAAAGAGACAUUAGUGUAAUUUAAAAUAUAAGACAGGCCGCAUAGUUUAUUUUUAGUGUAAUUUACAAAUAAAAUAUAAUAUUCACAUAAAUGUAGAAUUAUAGUUCUUACAUUUUACUCACGUCCCUUUUUAGUUGUCCCAUUUGGUUUUGUGCCGGUCAAAUUGACCAAAGUUUAACUGAUAUUUAUUAAUAUUUUAUCAACUGAUAAAAUAAAAAAAAAGUCAUAGGAAAGAACUUUUAAUUUACUUUAAGAUGUAAUUUUCAGUUUUUAAAAUAAUGAAAUAGUGGGUUAUAAUCUUUGGUAAAAAAAUUAGUCAAUUUGACCAAUAAAAAUUGAAAUGUGACCACUAAAAAGGGAGGGACUUAGGGAGUAAUAUUUUUAAGUGGCUUUAUUCCAUAUCUACUAUAUGUAUUAUAAAGGUUAUUUAAUUAUGAGAAAAUUCUUUCAGUUUAAAAAGACUAUCUAACCCUUUUCAACAGUGCUUGAGCGAACUUUUUAUUUAAAAUGACUGCUUUAUCCUUGAGGAGCUGAUUCGAACCUGGUUCCUAACCUUGGCUUUCGGAAGCAAUGAUCAUUUCACCCAGUUCAUGCUCGACUCCUUCAGUCUUGCACACCCACUGAAGCACUGAUUCCACGAUGAUUAAGAGAAGUAAAUCUAUCUGAUUAACAAGUUUAUGUAUCUAUCUGAUUGUUUUAGAUCUGUUAAUUCUUCAUUUUGUGUGCUUUUUCUAUUUGUAUGUUCUGUUGUCGCCGCUAGAUGUGUGGAUUUUUGUUUUUUUGUGUGUAAAUUAGGGUUUCGUGUGAUAUGAAUGUGUUGUUUUUGUUUAUGUCUGGUUGAUUUGUGCUUGUGAUUUAUUUGUGUUCUAAAUGUUAAUUUGAGAAGCAAAUGAAUUAAGAAUUGAAAAUCUUUAGGUUUGUAGUAGGCGAUUAAUUGGGAUGCAAUUCAGUAUUGAUAUAUAUGUAUUUCAAACGGAUUACUGAUAUGCAUCUGAGUAAAGAAUCGAGACAAGUAGCUAGUUACUUAAAUGAGGAUUCAUUAGACAAAUCCAUGGAGGUGAUAUUCACUCUGAAUCUCGUCAUUUACAGCCUGGAACUUAACUCUGAGUGUAAUAAUAUCUUUCUAUUGUAGGUAUCAAGUGGUAGAAAUUUAUAAAAUCCCGUGUCACUCGUUUCCUGCAAGUUGUAUCUUAACUAGAAUUAGUUUGUGUUAAUCAUGUUAAAUUGAAACCUUUCUUAGAGUGAUAUAAGAACUUGUCGCAGAUUGAUUUUUACUGUAGAAAGUCGAAGAAACGACCAUGGACAUGCGAAAGAAAUUUUUCUGAAAGACUACAAGUCACCUGAUUAUUGUUUGGCACUGUAAGAUACCUUAGCUCCUCAUCUGGGAUGUCUAAACUGCUUGAACAUACAAGUCACCUGAUUAUUGUUUUAGCAAUGUCAGCCUUGUACUUCUGUUGCUUUUGAUAUUUUCUGAUUCUGUUUCUGCAAGGUUGAACUUGAACAUUUUACCCUGUACUAGAACAGUCUGAUACACAUGAGUAUUAAAGAAAUAUUGAGCUUCAUCCUUCUAAUUUCCAGAACCUUUUAUUGUAUGAAUGCGUUUCCUAACACUAUAAUUACAUUCAGGAGGGCGACUUCCAGAUAUAUUCACGGCAUCUGAUUCUCCCUUUGCUUCCAGACAGUAAAUUUAAACUGAAAAUUAUUACUGAGACAUGCCCGUCGAAGAACACGACAUUAGAUGUUUGUUACUUUAUUCCCUCUCCUCAAGUCUUUGCAUAUGCUUUCUAUAUAUGAAUCUUCUUCUGUUAUGAUGUUCUUUGUCUUUUGACAAUAUUAGUUCUGAAUAUUUGAUGCAGGGUCUUUACCGGUCAUUACGAAAUUGCUGCACACAAUGUGAAGCAGCGGAUUUUCAGAAUAUCCUAAUUGUCGUAGUGUUUAUGAUGUAACAACUCUUCAAUGUCAUGAGCCUAUCAAGUGCCCCUCAUUUCAACGAUCCAGUGAUACACUUUGGUAUCUCUGCUCCUUAUUUUAUCUGGCCUUUAACAUAGGCAUUUCACUGGGUUACUGAUUCUGCAGAUAUUGAAGAUAGACUUUCGAGAGCAAUAGUGUCAUUUGACAUUGAAGAUGAACAAUUCAAACUUUUUACAUGGAUGGAUCCUUUUAAAAUUCCUCUUGAAGAGCCAGUGAUUAUCGAUACAUUAAAUAACUCACUUUCAUUGGUUGUUCCUCACAAAAGUUUUCUAAAUUACUCAAGCUUUUAUAUAUGGGUAAUGGAUGACUACGGGAAAUAGGUAUCUUGGACUAGGUGGUCCAUCACCCAUAUAUAAAAGCUUGAGUUUAGAAAACUUGUGUGAGGAACACCUAGUGAAAGUGAGUCAUUUAAUGUAUCGAUAAUAACUGGCUCUUCAAGAGAAAUUUUAAAAGGAUCUGGCCAUGACAAAAAUUUGAAUUGUUCAUCUUCAAUGUCAAAUGACAUUACUGCUUUGGAAAGUCUAUCUUCAAUACCUGCAGAAUCAGUAACCCAAUGAAAUGCCUAUUGUAAAGGUCAGAUGAAAUAAGGAGCAGAGAUACCAAAGAAUAUCACUGGAUCAUUGAAAUGAGGGGCACUUGAUCAGGCUCAUGACAUGGAAGAGUUGUCACAUCAUGUGCACUACGACAAUUAGGAUAUUGGACAAAUGAUCUUCCUAUAAUGACAACAUAUGAGAGCGAUUUUUUUUUGAUGACCCUACUAAGAACGAAAGAACACUCCAGUUUUUUGUAUUUCUGCACACAAUGUGAAGCAGCGGAUUUGUGGAAUAUCCUAAUUGUCGUAGUGUGUAACAAUUCUUUAAUACCUUGAGCCUGAUCAAGUUCCCCUCAUUUCAAUAAUUUAGUGAUACACUUUCGUGUCACUGCUCCUUAUUUUAUCUGGCCUUUAACAUAGGCAUUUCAUUGGGUUACUGAUUCUGCAGAUAUUGAAGAUCGACUUUCCAAAGCAAUAGUUUCCUUUGACAUUGAAGAUGAACAAUUCAAAUUUUUUACAUGGAUGGACCCUCAUAAAAUUCCUCUUGAAAAGCGAGUGAUUAUCGAUACAUUAAAUGACUCACUUUCACUGGUUGUUCCUCACAAAAGUUUUCUAAACUUAAGCUUUUAUAUAUGGGUGAUGGAUGACUAGGUGAAAUAGGUAUCUCUUUUGGACUAGGCGAUACAUCACCCGUCUAUAAAAGCUUGAGUUUAGAAAACUUGUGUAAGGAACAAUCACUGAAAGUGAGUCAUUUAAUGGAUCGAUAAUAACUGGCUCUUGAAGAGGAAUUUUAAAAGGAUCUAGCUAUUAAAAAAAAUUGAAUUGUUCAUCUUCAAUGUCAAAUGACACUACUGCUUUGGAAAGUCUAUCUUCAAUACCUGCAGAAUCAAUAACCCAAUGAAAUGCCUAUUUUAAAGGUCAGAUGAAAUAAGGAGCAGAGAUACCAAAGAGUAUCACUGGAUCAUCGAAAUGAGGGGCACUUGAUCAGGCUCAUGACAUGGAAGAGUUGUCACAUCAUGUGCACUAGCUACGACAAUUAGGAUAUUGGACAAAUGAUCUUCCUAAAAUGACAACAUAUGAGAGCGAUUUUUUUUUCCGAUGAUCCUAAAAUCCAAGAACGAAAGAACACUCCAGUUUUUUGUAACUUCAGUUAUGUUCAGUUAUGUUUCAUUAUGUUCUAUCCUGAGGAAAAUAAUAUCGUUAUCAUUGGCAGGGAGGAUGGCUCUAUACUAAUCUAUGGUGUUCAGAAAGAUAUGGUCUGUAUCUAUAUAUACUGAUAUCUAAGUGUUGUGCAUUAAAAAUGAAAUAUCAUAAUAUAGCUAUUAAGUUCUUAUUAUCUAUUUAGCUUAUAUAGAAGAUAUCAGAUGCAUCGGCACAUUUCUGUCAAGUGUCACCAGGACCAAAGACAUUUGUUAGUUGUACAUGAAAGUUGUAUAGCCACUCUUGAAGGACCUAAUCUCGAGACCUGCAAGCAGGUAUCUGUUAAUUAUUUGCAGUGUUAACAAUUAAUUUAUAUGCUUUGUUGAAUAUCACAACAUGCUUCACCCACGCUUUAUUAGACCUUAUUUGAAAGAGGUCGGGGUGAUGGUUUUGGGUGCAACUAUAAUGUGUAUUAAUGAUCAAGCACAUAACAAAUAUAUAUUAAUUGUGUGUGUACAUAUAUACCUACAUGAAAACAAUCAUAUUCAACAGAACAUGACACUGAUUUUUCUAAAAUUGCCCCUGGUGCAAUAUCAUGUCGCUCUGCUAUAUAUUGAGAGUAACAUCUAAGUUCUUAAUGACAGAAGAAAUUCUCAAGCUCUUUAAAUAUUUCUCAGUAGAUUCCCGGGGAAUUGAUCGGUGAUGCUGCAUAUAUAUUCAUGUGAUGGCCAGUCCAUAUAUGCCUGCUUUCUUAACAGGCACAUUGUUUUCUUGGACUCGGCAUCUUUGACCAUAAAGUUUUUUAUCAAUCCGAGUGCAUAUUUACCUUGUAAUUAAAGGUAGGUGUUAUGUUUAAUUAAAAUGUAUCCUGAAAAUAUGAGCUUAUUAGCGAUAACACGCUCUUGACUGGAAGCUGCCUUCUGUAUUAUAUCUACAGCCCGGUGAUGUACGCUUCUACUCUUGAGGCUAAUCCUACAAAACACAAUCAGUUUGCUCUCGGGCUUAGUACUGAUGGUGGCGUACUAGUUAUAGAACUUGAGGAAGAGGAUAUUGGGGUUGGCAUUGUAGCACGCCUUAGCUUGAGACCAGCAACAACUGAGAACUUGAUAUGAGCUUUUGUGAUAAUCAGAGCCCAGUAUCUCUUGAAAUCUAUGUGUUUUAAAACAUACAUCUAGGGAUUGGAUUAGUGCAAGUUUUUUUUUUGCUGGACUAUGUUAAGUGGUAAAUGUUCGAUGCAAAUAUAGACGUAGUGAAAAAGUUUAAAUGAGAAUUGUCAACAAAGUAUGAAAAUAAGAAAAGAAAGCCAAUAUUUUGACAUAAACAAUGUUUCACUUAUACCCCCUGUAAUUUUCAAUGCAAAUACAUAUGUAGCUGCCCAAUUUCAAAAGGGAAUUAUCAAAACAAAUAUGCAAAUAUACAUGCUUGACUAUGUUAAUUGAUAAAUUUUUAAUUGAAAUAUACAUGUAGAAGCAGAAUUUGAAAUGAGAACGGUCAACAUAGUAUGAAAUAUGAAAAUAAUAAAAGAAACUUAAUGU